rnacentral:lncRNA from 1 species
CUUCCACUUUGUAGUUCAACAAUUCGAAAUAAUGCAUUAAGGAUGCUAGACUUUCCUGCACCAGUUCUUCCAACUACACCUAUCUUCUCAGUCGAAGGUACCGUAAAAGACAAUCCAUGCAAGACUGGUGGAAGUUCAGGCCUAUAACUAAGAACAACAUUCUCAAACUCGAUUGAUCCUGACGUUGGCCAUCCGGGUGGUGGACGAUUUGUCUCAAUUAUACCAAGACCCUCAGUUUCUAAAUUUAUAUAUGUGUCAAUACGUUCGACCGAAUUCAAACUAUUUUCAGCUUUACUUGCUUGUCUUCGGACACCACUUAAAAGAUUUGUUAUGUUCAAUGUAUAACUUAGAAGUAGACCCAUUGUAGAUGCCAUCUUUGCAGGGUUUUCUGAUCUUGCAUUUUGUAAGACAGCAAAUGUUGCUAUCAACCAAAUCAGGAGACCUCCUAAGCUUUCUAAUCGUAUUGUCAACCAACGGUUCGAACUAGUAUUCACAAGAGUGAAUCUGAUAUUGUUAUCCAUGAAUUGUCCAUUGAUGUUUGUGUUGAAGAUUGACGCUAAUUAAGGAGAAUCAACAGAUUUUGUUUUGUACAGUUUGAUGACAGCUGUAUGUCCAUUAAAUAUAGAUUAGUAUUAGCUAAUUCCUAGCCUUUCCUAUCUUAUUAGAAUUAGCAAUUAUGAGGAGAAUAACUUCCCUAAUUCUUAGGCUAGAUUAGCGCCCAGCCUUAAUCUCCUAGUCUGUAUAAAUUCUGCUUUGUAUUAUUGUAAAGAUACAGAAAAUAAAAUAAGAAAGUUCCGCAUGGUAUCAGAGCUCGAUCUGAUCCAUCCCUAAGAAAACCCUAGCGCCGCCAGCAAUGGGUGAACCUUCCGACAAACAGCCAAAGAUGGAAACUGGAUCAUUUCCGACCAGUUCACAUGAUGGGCUCAGUCAUCUCAUCACUGGCCAUAAAUUAAAUGGUCAAAACUAUACCCAAUGGGUAAGAUCAGUCAAGAUCUUCCUUCAAGGAAAAGGGAGAGAAGACUACAUCACAGGAGACACAAAAUGUCCCCAAGAAGGAGAUGCCACCCUUCAAAAAUGGAAACUUGAGAAUAGCCAAGUAAUGUCAUGGCUGCUCAACACCAUGACCAACGAAAUUGGUGAAAAUUUCAUGUUCUAUGAUUCGGCAAAGGAGAUAUGGGAUGCUGUGAAGGAAACAUAUUCAAAUGUGGACAAUACCUCUGCCAUAUUUGAGAUAAGAAGCAUUCUACACAACCUUCGACAAGGAGAAUCUUCUGUUACUGAGUAUUUUAAUACACUUAGUAGACAUUGGCAACAACUAGAUGUAUAUGAAGAAGUCACAUGGGACUGUCCAGGGGAUAAGAAAAAAUUCAAAGAGCUGGUGGAGAAGGACAGAAUCUACAUGUUCCUAUUGGGACUAAACAAGGACCUUGAUGAAGUCCGUGGAAGGAUCCUUGGAACCAAACCUCUUCCCAAAAUUCGGGAAGCCUUUUCAGAAGUAAGGAGAGAAGAGAGCAGGAGGAAACUCAUGUUGGGAAAUGCCACCUCAACACCUCCCACCGAGAGCUCAGCAAUGGCUGCAAGAGGAAACCAAAUUCGGCCAUUUCAAAAGAAAAAUCGUCCCUGGUGUGAUCACUGCAAGAAACCAGGCCAUACACAAGAAAUAUGUUGGGUUAUACAUGGAAAACCCCCAGAAGCCAAGCAAUUCAAAAGCAGGGACAGCAGAGGCAACGCAAUUUUUAACUACCAAGAAGCUGAGGUAAAAUCUACUUCAUUUCCAUUUAACAAGGAACAAAUGGAGGCUUUACAAAAAAUCUUCAAACAAACCAUGCUCUCUACAGAAAAAGGUGGUACGGCUGUAGUGGCUCAGAGAGGGAAUGUCUCACAUGCUCUAAAUACUAGCAUGGGAAAAACAAAGUCAUGGAUUGUUGACUCAGGGGCUUCAGAUCACAUGACUGGAAAUUUUAAUUUGUUUACUAGUUAUUCUCCUUAUCCAUUUAACUGCACUGUCCGAAUAGCAGAUGGCACACAUUCUAAGGUCAUGGGUACAGGAUCAAUUAUUUUGUCACCUAAUAUUACACUAGAAUAUGUUCUAUAUGUGCCAAAACUUGAUUGCAACUUGCUGUCCAUUAGCAAAAUCACAAGAGAUUUGAAAUGUGUUACUAAAUUUUCUCCUAACUUGUGUGAAUUUCAGAUUUUGGAGUCGGGGAAGACGAUUGGCAGUGCUAAAGAGUGUGCUGGACUCUACCUACUUCAAGCUGAAGAAUUAGAAAGAGGACUCAAGAACCAGUCAUAUGCAGCAGCUAGUGUUCCAAGUAGUGACAAUCCUGUAAUGUUAUGGCACUAUCGAUUAGGCCACCCAAAUUUCAUGUAUCUGGAAAAAUUAUUUCCUUCUUUAUUCAAUAAAAAUCAGAAGCAUUUUCAGUGUGAAAUUUGUCAAUUGUCCAAACAUACACGUAGCCAAUACCCACCCCAACCCUAUAAGCCAUCCCAACCUUUCGCCCUAAUUCAUAGUGAUGUAUGGGGACCAUCACGCAUUAAGAAUGUUACUGGUUCUAGAUGGUUUGUCACGUUCAUUGACGAUCACACUCGUGUUACCUGGGUAUUUUUAAUGAAAGAGAAAUCAGAAGUAGGAAGGAUCUUUGAGGUUUUCCACAACAUGGUGCAAACUCAAUUUCACAACAAGAUCCAAGUGCUUAGAACUGACAAUGGUUGUGAGUACUACAAUUCGAUUCUAAGUUCUUACCUACAAAAAGUUGGCAUUGUUCACCAAAGCUCUUGUGUGGACACUCCACAACAAAACGGAGUUGCGGAAAGAAAGAAUAGACAUAUUUUGGAAGUAACUAGAUCAAUCAUGUUAGCCACAAAUGUCCCGAACCAGUUUUGGGGGGAAGCUGUCCUUUCGGCAACACACCUUAUAAAUAGAAUGCCUUCCCGGAUCCUUAACCUCAAGACCCCCCUCUCCACACUCCAAAUCUUCUUCCCAACCAGCAAAAUACUCACCUCCAUUCCCUUAAAGAUUUUUGGAUGCUCAUCCUUCGUCCACAACCACAACCCACACCGUAGUAAACUUGACCCCAAAUCUAUCAAGUGCAUUUUUCUUGGUUACUCACCUCACCAAAAAGGGUACAGAUGUUACUCACCCAUCACCAAAAAAUUCUACCACACCAUGGAUGUAACCUUCUUUGAGAACCAACCAUACUACCCCAAAGUUGGCAUUCAGGGGGAGCAAGUACACACAUAUCCAAUUGAAACUUUAGAAUACCAACCUUGGAUGUUUGAACAAACAGAAACUGCCCCUAUCCCAGCUGAAAGGACAGCAGAACCUGAACCGGUUGUUGUAACAGAAACUGAAGCAGUGGCCGAGGCAGAAAAUGGAAAAAACAAUGAAAUUGGAACAACCCAACAUAAUCAAACAGAAACUGAAGCAGUGGCCGAGGCAGAAAAUGGAAAAAACAAUGAAAUUGGAACAACCCAACAUAAUCAAGGUACACACGAAGGAAGUUGGAAAACUUAUGAAAGAAGAAGGAGGAAGGAAGUAGAGCCUAGCACAGCUCCACCGCAAAGCCAUGAGUCUCACCAGAUUCCAGAAAAUGAAAUCCCUACAGGUAACGUUGUCCCAAACUCUAAACUCCUUGUGAAUCUUGACACUGUUGAUAUUGAUAUUCCUAUUGCUGUAAGAAAAGGGGUGAGAACUUGCACUCAACACCCUAUUGAGAAUUGUGUUUCCUAUGGAAAAUUAUCACAAAACUACAGAUCAUUUGUAGCAGCCAUUGACAACAUAGAAAUUCCAAGGAAUGUUCAAGAAGCUCUACAGAAACCUGAAUGGGCAGCAGCUGUAACUGAAGAAGUCCAAGCACUGGUAAAAAAUGGCACAUGGGAAAUCACCACAAUACCUGAAGGGAAGAAACCAGUGGGAUGCAAGUGGAUCUUUUCGGUUAAACACAAUGCUGAUGGGAGUAUAAACAGGUACAAGGCCCGAUUAGUUGCAAAGGGAUUUACACAAUCAUAUGGAGUGGACUAUGAAGAGACCUUUGCACCUGUGGCAAAACUCAACUCAGUCCGGGUCCUAUUAUCAUUGGCAGCAAAUCUAGAUUGGCCCCUACACCAAUUAGAUAUAAAGAAUGCCUUCCUAAACGGUGAGCUAGAAGAGGAGGUGUAUAUGCAAAUACCUCCCGGGCUUGAAUCACAUGACACCUCAAACAUGGUAUGCAAACUCCAUAAAUCCCUCUAUGGCUUGAAAUAAUCUCCAAGAGCAUGGUUUGAUAGACUAACAAGAGUUGUCAGGGAAGAUGGCUUUGCCCAAUGCCAAACAGACCACACUAUGUUUGUUAAGCACUCUCCGGAGGGAAGAAUAGCCUUAUUUAUUGUCUAUGUUGAUGAUAUUGUUAUUACAGGAGAUGAUCAUGAUCAAAUCAGCCACCUCAAGAGUAUCUUAACCGAAGAAUUUGAAGUCAAAGAUUUGGGCCAACUCAAGUACUUUCUAGGAAUGGAAAUUGCUCGGACAAGGGAUGGUAUUUGUGUUUCUCAAAGGAAAUACACUUUGGAUUUACUCAAAGAAACAGGGAUGCUUGGAUGCAAAGUUGCCAAUACUCCGGUAGAACCCAUGAAACAAAGUGAAGAAGAAAGUGUACCUGCUGAUAAGGAUAGAUACCAAAGCUUAGUUGGAAAACUAAUCUAUCUAACUCACACUAGACCAGAUAUUGGUUUUGCUGUGAGCUUGGCUAGUCGCUACAUGUCCAACCCAACUGAGACUCACAUGAAGGCUCUAAAUAGAAUCCUUCAAUACCUAAAGGGUACACCUGGCCGCGGGCUCUAUUUCCAGAAGAGCCACAACCAGGGAAUUGAAGUUUAUACCGACUCAGAUUGGGCAGGGAGUUUAUCUGACAGGAAAUCCACCACAGGCUAUUGCACCUUUGUAUGGGGAAACUUGGUAACAUGGAGAAGUAAGAAACAAUCUGUGGUCGCUAGAAGUAGUGCAGAAGCUGAAUUCAGAGCUAUGGCACAAGGAAUUUGUGAAGGGAUUUGGCUCAAACGAAUGUUGGAUGAGAUCAAAAUUCCUACUAACUACACUAUGAGAAUACUUUGUGACAACAAGGCAGCUAUAAGUAUUGCAAAAAACCCGGUUCACCAUGAUAGAACAAAGCAUGUGGAAAUAGACAAACACUUCAUUAAGGAGAAAAUUGAUCAUGAGAUCAUAAGUGUUAACCACAUCUCAUCAAACAGACAAACAGCAGACAUUCUAACAAAGGCACUUUCAAGGCACACAUACGAAACUAUCAGGUCCAAUCUGGGUAUGAUAGAUAUCUACCACCCAGAUUGAGGGGGAGUGUUGAAGAUUGACGCUAAUUAAGGAGAAUCAACAGAUUUUGUUUUGUACAGUUUGAUGACAGCUGUAUGUCCAUUAAAUAUAGAUUAGUAUUAGCUAAUUCCUAGCCUUUCCUAUCUUAUUAGAAUUAGCAAUUAUGAGGAGAAUAACUUCCCUAAUUCUUAGGCUAGAUUAGCGCCCAGCCUUAAUCUCCUAGUCUGUAUAAAUUCUGCUUUGUAUUAUUGUAAAGAUACAGAAAAUAAAAUAAGAAAGUUCCGCAGUUUGAAAUCCUGUCGUAAGCUUUGUAAGCGCGAAUGCUUGACAAACCAUUCAAAGAUUCUCCAAAAUGUGCAUAAACAGGAGACCUUGUAAUGGAAUCCAUGCGCUUCACUUCUCGAGCUGUGCUCUAUUAGGCAUGAUAUUAAUAUGAAAGAUUAGUUAAUUCCAUCAACCAUGAUCACUAAGAGAAUGUUCGAAUCCGGAGUCUGGAGGGUUGACUAUAUUUUGGUAUAUAUUUGAGAUUUAAAAAAAUUGAAAGAAUAACAUAAUAGAUGAUCAUAAAACAUUUCAAUCCUAGAAGUUAUCUUUAAAUCAUUCAUUAUAUUGCUUCCUUAAUUUAUAAAUUAAAAAUAAACUGUCCCCUGCCCUCCUCUCCAAAAUCCUCCAUCCAAACACACCCUUAGUGUGAAUGCCUAAAAAAAUUAUCAAUUCCUAAAAUUAAAGGCAAGAUAUAGAACACACCUGGUAGAAUAUAUAAGCAACAUAGAAAAAUAUCAGAAUUGGCAUUAUAGCCCACAAGGAUAUGGUGCUGACGGUGCCUAUAAGAACAAAUGUUGAAAGUAGUUGCCAGACUUGCCCAAGAAACAUAUUCCCCAAAUUAAAAACAUUGGUAUCUAUGUCUCCUGUGUCUUUCGCAAAUCUAUUAAUUAUGCGGCCAACAGGAUUGGUCUGGAAGAACACCAUUGGAGUGCGUAGAAUUUUAUCUAGCAUCGCAUCGUGCAAUCUUUUGGCAGCACGAAGACUUGAAAUGAUCAACCAAUAAGAGUUUGCAAGUGCCACAGAUACCUGAACGCAGCAAGGGAAAAAUUCAUUUCAUUUUUCAAAAACCGAAGGAAGAGCAGAAAGGUAUUUAGUGGUAAGUUACAUAUGCUGAAAGUUGAAACCAUGCUGAAAGGUAUAUGCUGAAAGUUGAAACCAUGUGUAUCAACUAUGCAAUAGACUCUUUAUAUAGGCUCAAAAACAAUAAAUAAGAUAACUACAAAUAUUCUAUCUCUAUUUACAAGAUAUGAUAUGGUAUGAUAAGAUCGAAAGCUGAUCCAGAGAGAUAAACGAAUAUAUUAUAAUAUAAUAUCAAGAUAUUAUUUUAUAUUCUAACACAAGUAAAGCAAAGGAUACUAAAUACUAGGUAGAAAGGUGAAUAUUGGAGUUUGGAAGCAUGUGAGAAAUGAGAAGAUACAGUUGUUAAAUUAAAACUCAUAGUCAUUGAAGAAUCACCUGUCCGAAUGAAAAAAGUGCAUAAAUGAAAAUAAAAUAUCCUGCUUGAGAAGCUGCAGUGGAAUCUUGAGAUGUCCACACACUUAACCAUGUGCUACUCGAAAUUCGAAGAGCUUCUGUUAAUGUGUAGCAUGCAAAAAGUAUAGAAACUACCCAGAGCCCUCCCAAAGCAGAUGUGUAACUGUAAUUUUGGAUAUGUGAUUAUAAGUCAUAACCAAACUAGAGUAUCCAAAUUGAGUCCAAGUAGAAAAAAGUGCAAAGCAUGGCUAGUGGUCACAAAAGCAAAAGAAAUACAACACCAAAAAAGCUUCCAUAACCAAACCAAAUUAACAUUAAUCUUAUUUGAACAUCAAUUUGUGAUGACAAAAUUCGACAAUUUUUUAACGACUAAUGCAGUUUGCACACGUGGUAAAUGAAAUGUUAUAUUUGAUUAAUAGAUAUAUCACUUAACAAAUAUUCUUAGAUUUUUAAUGUUAGAAAUAAUAAAAACUAUUCUUGCGUACUCACUUAACAACUUUACGUUUUUAAGAUAGUUGGUUCAAGACAUGACAAGAUAGUUGGUCUAGAUUUUGAACCUCGCCUUUCUCAUUCUUUAAAAUAUAAAAUCAAAUUUCAUCACAAGAUAAGUUGACAUGUCUUUUGUCCAAUACUUUAGCAGCUUAACCUUAUUAGAUAGUUGGUUCAUGACAUUAUUAAUAACUUAAAGGAAAAGAUUCAUGCACUAUUCAAAUUUCAAACUUCAUGAAGAUCUUACCUCGUUAAAACUUUCCAACUAACCACGCCUGUCUCCCGCUCUUCUUUCUUAACAAGUACCGAUUUUCGCAAUUUUCCUUUCUCAUAGUUUGUAUCAUUUGGUAACUCUACCAUUGCCUCAUUAUUAAAGGGUAAAGCAUCAGUCUUGUUGUCAUGACUAUCUCUAUCUUUGUUACUAUCUACCUCUUGUUCCAUUUUCCCUGCAUUUUCCAUUAGUUUCUGAAAUAGAGGCCCACAUUUCGACAACUCCUCGAACGUUCCUUGCUCCUUAAUCAUACCUUCACUAACAAGAAUAAUUUUUUCCACCUGAGGGAGAAAAUGGAGCUGGUUGGUGACAAGAACCCUGGUUUUUCCUUGCAGCCCUUCCUUUAUACAAUUCCUGAAAACCUAAAGGACAAUGUAAAUCAGGUUAUAUGAACUAUGAAUUGUGAUCAUAGAUGAUUUCAGAAGAAUUAAAUGGUCAAAAUUAACGGUGGAAUCAGCAAUUUCAGUCUACUGUGAACCACCUGCCAAAGCAGUCUAUUAUAUAAAGGACUGUUUUACAGCUUGAUAAGAAUGAUACCUCUUGAGCAAUAUGAGCAUCAAGAGCACUUAAAGGAUCAUCAAAUAUAUAUACAUCUGAAUUUGAGUAUACAGCCCUAGCUAAGGAAACUCUUUGCUUUUGCCCACCACUAAUAUUCACUCCUCUUUCUCCAAUCUCUGUAAAGUCGCGUCCCUGAAAAUAUAUAAAUGAGAUAAAUCAAUCAUAUAAAAGUUGUGUAUUAAUUUUUUUUAAAUUAUAGAGAAGAUGAAAGUUUAUAAACAAUCUUACAGGUAAAAAGUUGAGAUCAUGCUCCAAAGAGGUGACAUCAAUGGCCUUCCAAUACCGGUUAUGAUCGAAUUUUGAUCCAAAUAAUAUAUUUUCUCGAACCUGAAAAUAAGAAAUUAUUUAGAAUGAUAAAUAGUACUUAUUGAAAGAGAGAAAAUAAUAUACAAGAGACAUCAUGCAUAAACCGUGUCUCAACUACACCAUAGAGGUCUCAUUAUAUAGGUUGAAAACCAAUCACUAUACAAAGUGCAAAUAAGAAUAUUUGUUCACUUUGCAUAUAGUAGGUCUCAAGAAUUAGGAUAAAAAUAUAUUUUAUUGAAUUAAAAAUAUGUUGGCAAUACAUCAGUUAUAUAUAUAUAUACACACACACACUAGAUUACUAUAUGUUGAAAUAUUAUCAUUAUUAAAACUAUCAUCUUCUUUCAAUUUUUAUUUUCUUUAUAUCACUCCUAAAUUUAAGGAGCUGAGUAAUUGUACUUUCUCCUAUUUAAGGAGCUGAGUAAUUGCAGGUCUAAACAAAGAACUUGAUGAAGUAAGAGGCAAAAUCCUUGGAAAAAACCCUUUACCAACUCUUCGAGAAACUUUUUCAAAAGUCAGAAGAGAAGAGGCAAGACAAGAAGGGAUGAUGGAAAAUUCAAUCACAGAUGGGUCAGCACUAAUCACCAGAAAUUUCAAUGAGGAAGGUAAGAAAGAUAGUAAGAAAUCAGAGAAGCCAUGGUGUGACCAUGCAAACGUCCGUGGCACACGCGCGAGACGUGUUGGAAGCUACAUGGAAAGCCUCCUAAUGCGAAGAAGAAAGGAAAAGGUCGUGCAUUUCAAGCUAGUUCUGAUCAAGAGUUACAGUCUUCCUCAAGUUCAUUUUCAUUCACCAAAGAGCAACUAGAUCAACUGUACAAACUUCUUGAAUCUCAAACCCCUUCUAGCUCCAUGGCUCAGAAAGGUAAUUUUUUAUAAGCCCACCUUAGUGUCAUCCCUAACCAUAGUUGGAUUUUUGAUUCUAGAGCUACUGACCAUAUGACCGGAGAACUUGGUAUAUUUUCCUCAUAUAAACCUUGUACAGGUAAUUCAAAAAUUAAGGUUGUCGAUGGCUCGCUUUCACCCGUGGCAGGAAAAGUUUCUAUUGUUUUAUCUCCCUAAUUUGGCUUGCUACCUAUUAUCCAUCAGUAAAUUAACCCAAAAUAAAAAUGUGAAGCUCAUUUUUUUGACACACAUUGUGUAUUUUAGGAUAUGAUCUCGGGAAAGAUGAUUGGCAGUGCUAAGCAAAGUGGUGGACUCUACUAUCUUGAAGAAGGACCUAAAAACAAACACCAAUUCGGACCAGUAGGUUCUUCAGUUGAAUCUUUUUUGUUUCAAAUAAUAAGGAUGAUAUUAUGUUGUGGCAUUUGAGGUUAGGCCACCCUAGUUUUAAAUAUUUAAAGUCUCUAUUUCCAAAACUUUUUGUUAAUCAAGAUAUUUCCACAUUUCAAUGUGAAAUUUGGGAGUUUGCUAAACAUCAUCGAAAUUCCUUUCCAAUACAUGAGUCUAAACCUUCAAAACCUUUUUCGGUGAUUCAUAGUGAUUUUUGGGGGCCUAAUAGGAUAAGUUUUUUAUCCAACAAAAGAUGGUUUAUCACUUUUACACUUUUACAGAUGAUCAUACCAGACUCUGUUGGGUGUACUUAUUAAAGAAAAAUCAGAGGUAGCUCAGAUAAUAAAAAAAAAUUGUAAAUUGGUGCAGACACAAUUUAACUCUCAAAUACAAGUGUUUAGAACUGACAAUGGAACUAAAUACUUUAACACAUUCGUGGGAAAUUUUUUUAUGGCAAACAUAAUUGUUCAUCAAAGCUCAUGUGUUAACUUAACUCAGCAAAAUGGAAAAUUGCAGAGAGAAAAAACUGACACCUUCUUGAGGUGGCAUGGGCGUUACUCUUCUCUACCAAUGUCCUAAAAUAUUUGUGUGGUGAGGUUGUCUUAACAGCUGCACAUUUGAUUAAUCGCAUGUCAUCACGUGUUACAAUUUCGAACACCUUCUCAAAUUUUCUUGUAACACUUUUCCAUUGCAUCAAUCUUUCUUGAUUUACCAUUGAAACUUUUUGGAUGCACGGCUUUUGUUCAUGAACAUAAACAUCUUAGAAAACUUGAACCCAUGCUAUAAUAUGUGUUCUUCUUGGAUACUCCUCCACUCAGAAAGGUUAUAAAUGUUUUAAUCCAAGUACAAAGAAAAUGUUUGUCACAAUGGAUGUUACCUUUUUUGAAAACUGUUAGAAUAUUAAAAAAUAUCUUAUAAUAUCUUUUAUAUUAUAUUAGAGUAUCUUAAAUUAUUUCUUAGGAUCAAUUUAUGAUUAUAGAGAUAUCUUAGAAUAUCUCUUAUUAUUAUUAUGAUUUAUUCCUAAUUUAGGAUUUAGUCUAUGUUUCUCUAUAAAUAGAGAUUAGUAUUGAGUCUAUUGUAAUCAAGUCAGCAUUAAGCUAUUAUCAAUGAUAUUCAAACCCUUAUUAUUUUCUCUCCUCCUUUUCUCUAAAAUCUCACACUUUCAACAUGGUAUCUAGAGCUUAUUUCGAUCCUCCUUGAACGAUUCCGCCUCUAUUCCGCUGUCGAGUUCCCAACAAUUAGGGAAUAUAAUUAUAGUUUCUCUUUUCUAACAUUCCAAUAUUCGGUGAGAUUUUUUGUAGCUUUUCGUUUAUUUUCAGCAGAUCAGUCACAACACUGUUUAUCGCGCGGUACUGUUUACUGCGCAAAUUGUCCAUAGCAUGAACCCUAACUAUGGCCAUCUUGACCCCAUUGCUGUUGGUGCCCUCAUUGCCAUCACUGCCCUUGCUGUCUACAGCACCAAAGGCUCUUCUAUUUUCAACUACAUUGCUACUAUCUUUCACAUGUUUGUCAUUGUCUUCAUUAUUAUUGCUGGUCUCAUCAAAGCCAAACCCGAAUACUACUCUCCAUUUACUCCUUUUGGUGUUCACGGUAUGAUUGAUGCUUCUGCUGUUUUUUUUCUUUGCUUAUGUUGCCUUUGAUGCUGUUUCAACUAUGGCUGAGGAAACCAAGAAUCCUGGCAGAGACAUUCCUAUUGGUCUUGUUGGAUCUAUGUUGAUUACCACCAUAUUAUAUUGCUUACUAGCUACAACACUUUGUCUCAUGCAGAAUUAUAAAGAUAUAGAUGUUAAUGCACCUUUUUCUGUUGCAUUUAGUGUUGUUGGAAUGGAUUGGGCUAAGUACAUUGUUUCAUUAGGUGCCUUGAAAGGAAUGACAACUGUAUUGUUGGUUGGUGCUGUUGGUCAAGCUCGUUAUUUAACUCACAUUGCACGUACUCACAUGAUGCCACCUUGGUUUGCUCUUGUUGAUCAUAGAACUGGGACACCUAUGAAUGAUACUAUCUCAAUGCUUGCAGCUUCUGGUGUUGUUGCUUUUUUCACUGAUCUUGCUAUUCUCUCUAACCUUUUGUCAAUUUCCACCUUAUUUAUAUUUUCCCUUGUGGCCUUAGCACUUUUAGUAAGGCGUUAUUAUUCAAGUGGAGUAACUACAAAAGGAGAUCAACGCAAUUUCAUUGUGGGUCUUGUGUUGAUUAUUGGCUCUUCAAUUGGAAUUUCAGCUUAUUGGAAUAAUAGUACUGAUGGCUGGAUUGGUUAUUUAGUUUUUGUUCCACUGUGGAUUUUAGGGACGGGUGGUAUUUGGCUUUUUGUACCAAUGGCAAAGAAGCCUACACUAUCUGGCUAGGCUAUAUUUAUAGCUAUUCUUUCCGACUUCACAUGCAUCCCUGAGUUGCCUCUCCAUUAUUAUUGGUUUGAAGCUUCCAAAUGCAGUUUUUUAGAAGAACGGAGCUUGCUUUUUUCAAUUGCCUUCCAUGAAUUUCUCUCAGGCUGAUGAUUAAUCAGACUAUCUGGCUAGGCUAUAUUUAUAGCUAUUCUUUCCGACUUCACAUGCAUCCCUGAGUUGCCUCUCCAUUAUUAUUGGUUUGAAGCUUCCAAAUGCAGUUUUUUAGAAGAACGGAGCUUGCUUUUUUCAAUUGCCUUCCAUGAAUUUCUCUCAGGCUGAUGAUUAAUCAGACUAUCUGGCUAGGCUAUAUUUAUAGCUAUUCUUUCCGACUUCACAUGCAUCCCUGAGUUGCCUCUCCAUUAUUAUUGGUUUGAAGCUUCCAAAUGCAGUUUUUUAGAAGAACGGAGCUUGCUUUUUUCAAUUGCCUUCCAUGAAUUUCUCUCAGGCUGAUGAUUAAUCAGACUAUCUGGCUAGGCUAUAUUUAUAGCUAUUCUUUCCGACUUCACAUGCAUCCCUGAGUUGCCUCUCCAUUAUUAUUGGUUUGAAGCUUCCAAAUGCAGUUUUUUAGAAGAACGGAGCUUGCUUUUUUCAAUUGCCUUCCAUGAAUUUCUCUCAGGCUGAUGAUUAAUCAGACUAUCUGGCUAGGCUAUAUUUAUAGCUAUUCUUUCCGACUUCACAUGCAUCCCUGAGUUGCCUCUCCAUUAUUAUUGGUUUGAAGCUUCCAAAUGCAGUUUUUUAGAAGAACGGAGCUUGCUUUUUUCAAUUGCCUUCCAUGAAUUUCUCUCAGGCUGAUGAUUAAUCAGACUAUCUGGCUAGGCUAUAUUUAUAGCAAUUCUCUCCGACUUCGCAUGCAUCCCUGAGUUGCCUCUCCAUUAUUAUUGGUUUGAAGCUUCCAAAUGCAGUUUUUUAGAAGAACGGAGCUUGCUUUUUUCAAUUGCCUUCCAUGAAUUUCUCUCAGGCUGAUGAUUAAUCAGACUAUCUGGCUAGGCUAUAUUUAUAGCAAUUCUCUCCGACUUCGCAUGCAUCCCUGAGUUGCCUCUCCAUAUUUUUUAUUAUUUUGUGGAGCAAAAUAUUUUCUUGUAGCAAGCUAAAGCUUAGUAAGCUUUAGCUUGAGGGGGAGUGUUAGAAUAUUAAAAAAUAUCUUAUAAUAUCUUUUAUAUUAUAUUAGAGUAUCUUAAAUUAUUUCUUAGGAUCAAUUUAUGAUUAUAGAGAUAUCUUAGAAUAUCUCUUAUUAUUAUUAUGAUUUAUUCCUAAUUUAGGAUUUAGUCUAUGUUUCUCUAUAAAUAGAGAUUAGUAUUGAGUCUAUUGUAAUCAAGUCAGCAUUAAGCUAUUAUCAAUGAUAUUCAAACCCUUAUUAUUUUCUCUCCUCCUUUUCUCUAAAAUCUCACACUUUCAACAAAAACAAACAUAUUUUUUAGAAGAAUCAUUUUCAGGUGGGAAGUCAAGUGAAAAUGAUUCCCUUCAAUUAUAUGAAAAUCUGAUUUUUUUCAGAAAAUGUGUAUACAUCACAUAAUUCUGUUACUACUGCACUUAAAGAAAUUGACUCAUAAACAAUAAGUGGUUCUACUUCUACCAUGAGUAAGGGUCUUACCAAAUUGAGGCUAACAAAUAAAGAAAAUGCUUUUUUGGAACUUAAUUUGAAAAAAAAAAAACCAAAUAUCCCCACAUAAGAAUCCUUGUGAUGAAACAUAAAAAAGAUUUGAAGAGGAUGAUCCAAUUUGGAAAGGUGUAUGUAAGAAGGAACCAAGAUCAAUUAGUGGAAGACCCCAUUCCUCAGCUCAACCAAGAAUCUGAACCGAGUGAAAGCCAACCAACCGAAACAAGUAAAAUUCUUACUAAACCUACUCCUAUAUACAUUGAUCUACAUGUUCCCAUGGCCUUUAGGAAACCUAUUACAUCAUGUACUAGACACUCUAUGUCUAAUUUCAUAUCUUAUUCAAACUUGUCCUCCUUUUUUGCUACUUUUACCUCUCACUUGUCUUGCAUAGAGAUUCCAAAGAAUGUACAGGAAGUUCUAGAGGCUCCAAAGUGGAAGGAAGCUGUUCUUUAGGAGAUGAAAGCUCUUGAAAAAAAUAAAACUUGGAGUGUCAUGACUCUACCAGCUGGUAAAAGAAUUGUGGGUUGCAAGUGGGUGUUUACAGUGAAGUACAACUUAGAUGGAUCAAUUGAAAAGUACAAAGCUAGGUUGGUUGCUAAAGGAUUUACUCAAACCUACGACAUAGACUACUCAGAGACCUUUUCCCUUGUUGCUAAGCUUAACACAGUCAGAGUUCUCUUAUCUCUUGCUGCUAAUUUGGAUUGGGUGCUCCACCAAUUAGAUGUUAAAAAUGCAUUUCUCAAUGGUGAUUUAGAAGAAGUGUAUAUGGACUUCCCUCCAGGUUUUGAAGACAAAUUUGUAUCACAAGUAUGCAAACUGAGGAAGUCUUUGUAUGGAUUAAAACAUUCUCCGAGAGCGUGGUUUAAAAAUUUACUCAGUCAAUAAAGAAACAGGGAUAUACUCAAGGGCAAGUUGAUCAUACCUUGUACACAAAGUCUAGCUCAAAUGGAAUGACAACUGUUUUAAUAGUGUAUGUUGAUGACAUUGUUCAGAUGAUGAUGUGGCAGAAAUAGAGAAACUAAAGAAAAGUUUAGCUGCAGAAUUUGAAAUCAAAGACUUGGGUCCCCUAAAAUACUUUCUUGGUAUGGAAGUGGCGAGAUCAAAAAGGGGGAUAAUAGUCUAUCAAAGAAAGUAUGUUCUAGAGCUCUUACAAGAAACAGGUAUGAGUGGUUGUAGGCCAACUGACACUCCUAUGGACCCAAAUGCCAAACUUUGGGAGAAAGGAGACACCCCGGUUGAUACUGGAAGAUAUUAGAGGUUAGUUGGAAAACUGAUAUAUUUGACUCAUACUCGUCCUGACAUUUCCUUCUCUAUUAGCGUUGUCAGCCAAUUCAUGCAUAACCCAUAUGAAGAACAUCUCGAAGUAGUUUACAGAAUCUUGAGAUACUUGAAGGCAACUCCUGGAAAAGGGUUUUUCUUCAAAAAGACCAAUGAUAAAAAUGUGGCAAUAUUUACCGAUGCAGAUUGGGCAGGAUCUGUUAUAGAUAGGAAGUCAACUUCAGGGUAUCGCACAUAUGUGUGGGGAAACUUGGUAACUUGGAGAAGUAAGAAACAAGGAGUGGUUGCAAGAAGUAGUGUCGAAGCUGAGUUUAGGGCAAUGGCACAAGGAAUUUGUGAAGGUAUGUGGAUUCUUAGAGUUUUGAAAGAACUUGAGAUAGUGGUGGAACUUCCACUGAAGUUAUAUUAUGACAACAAGGCCGCUAUAAGCAUAGCCCACAACCCGGUUCAACAUGAUCGAACAACGCACAUUGAAAUUGAUCGCCACUUCAUAAAAGAGAAAAUUGAUUUUGGUAUUCUUUGCUUGCCAUUCGUUCCUUCUAAUCAACAGACAGUUGACAUAUUGACCAAGAGCUUGACCAGGACAAGUUUGGAACAUUUGAUAAGCAAAUUGGACAUGAUUGAUAUCUAUGCACCAACUUGAGCGGGGGUGUUGAAAUAUUGUCAUUAUUAAAAUUAUUCAUCUUCUUUCAGUUUUUUUUUUUAUUUUCUUUAUAUCACUCCUAAAUUUAAGGAGCUAAGUAAUUGUACUUUCUCCUAUAAAAGGAGCCCCUAUUUGUCAGAAUAAUACACAACAACUAUCAAUAAAAUUUCACUAUACUAUACUACCAAAUCCCUAUUAGUACUCAUAUAUAACUAUAUCCCUACUAGUACUCCUAUACAACCGAAUCCCUAUACUUGAGGGAUAUCUUUAAUAAUAAAACAGAAACAUAUUUUGACACUCCCCCUCAAGCUAGUGAAUAGGUGUUCUUUGUUGAAGUUGUGGGAUUUUAGAUAAAAUAAUAAGAGUUUGAAUAUUAUUGAUAAUAGUUGUAUGUUGACUUGAUUACAAAAGACUCAAUAUUAAAUCUAUUUAUAGAGAUACAUAGAUUUAAUCCUAAAUAAGUAGCAAAUCAUAAUAAUAAUGAUUAUAAAUUGAUCUUAGAAAAUAACUCAAGAUACUCUAAUAUAAUAUAAAAGAUAUUAUAAAUAUUUUAUUAUAUUCUAACACUCUACCUCAAGCUAAAGCAUAGCUUAUUACAAGAAAACAAUGUAUUUAUUAAAUGUAAAUGUUGUUACUAUUAUUUAUACUGAGAAAUGUCAAAGCAAAAGGCAUCAAGCCAAGUUUACUGAGAUGGUAUUAGUAGGUUUACGAUCAAACUUGUGAUUUCAUGGUUUUGGGAAUUUCAGUUCAAAAUGUAUGUCAAAGGAAAAGGAUUAUGGAGUCACCUUGAUGGGGUUUCUCAAGCACCAAUAGAGAAAGCCGUCUUAGAUGCGUGGGAAAUCAAAUAUGCUCAAAUUAUUUCUUGGAUUCACAAUACUAUUAAUCCUCAUAUAAUAAUUUCCGCUUUUUUUCAACUGCUCAAAAAAUGUGGAACUACUUGAAGCGUAUCUACAACCAAGACAAUACGGCCAAAUGUUUUCAAUUGGAGCUAGAGAUAGCCAACUACAAACAAAGUGAUUUGUCUGUUCAAGAAUACUAUUCUGGAUUUUUGAAUUUGUGAACAGAACACUCUACGAUUAUAUUUGUUGCGGUUCCCAAGACUUCUCUUGCGGAUGCCCAAGCUGUCUACAACACUAGUAAGCGUGAUCAAUUUUUCAUGAAACUUCGUCCCGAAUUUGAGGCUGUUAGAGGUGCUUUGCUGAAUAGAACUCCUGUUCUUUGGAUACAUGUGUUGGUGAACUUCUCAUAGAGGAACAACGCCUCUUUACUCAAGAAACCAUGUCUCAUGAUGCUGUCACUUACGAACCUGUUGCAUAUGCUGCUCAAACCCAAAGUAAAGGCCGUGAUAUGCGACAACUCCAAUGUUUUUCGUGCAAACAGUUUGGACAUGUUGCUCGUAGUUGCAAUAAGUUUUGUAAUUAUUGCAAGCAGCAAGGUCAUAUUAUCUCUGGUUGUCCCACACGCCUUCCAUGACCAGCACAACAUCCAGUGCAGGCAUUCCAUGUCACUACGAGCUCCGCAUGGUGCCUAUAAUGGUGGUGCUCUAUAGCCUGAAAUGAUUCAACAAAUGGUACUUUCUACUCUUUCAGCCUUGGGAAUUCAGGGUAAGUUUUCUAAUGUUUCCAAUCCAUGCUUUCUUGAUUUUGGUGCAUUCAAUCAUAUGAUGGGUUCGUCUAAAUGCUUGCACAAUUUACGUUCUUAUCAUGGUAAUCAGAAAUGCUUGCACAAUUUAUGAUGGGUUCGUCUAAAUGCUUGCAUUCCAAUUUAUUGUCUGUUAGACAAUUGGUGGACAACAAUUCUAAUAUUAAUUUUCCCGUGAUGGUUGUCUUGUGCAGGAGCAGGUGUCGGGGAAGGUGAUCACGAAGAGACCUAAAAUGGGAAGAUUGUUUCCACUCCAAUUUAUUUCCAAUCAUUUAUCUCUUACUUAUAAUAAUGUUUUGAAUUCUUAUGAGGAUUAAAAUAGAAAAUUGGGUCAUCCAAACUUUGUUAUUUUGUUUCAUUUAUUUAAAACUGGUUUGUUGGGAAAUAAAAAUGUUUCUAAUGCCUCUGUGCCAUGUUCUGUUUGCAAAUUGGCUAAAAGUAAAACACUUCCUUUUCUGUCUGGUGCUCAUCAUGCUUCCACUUAUUUUGAGAUGAUUCAUAGUGAUGUAUGGGGAAUGUCUCUUGUAACUUCUCAUGCUCACUAUAAAUAUUUUGUCACAUUUAUUGAUGAUUAUAGUCGUUUUACUUGGAUAUAUUUUCUUCGGUCUAAAUCUAAAUUGUUUUCUAUGUUUAAGAAAUUUCUAACAUAUGUUGAAACUCAAUUUCAAACAAGUGUUAAAAAAUUUCGCUCUGACUCUAGUUGUGAGUAUAUGUCUCAUGAGUUUCAAGAGUAUCUUCAACAAAAAGGUAUUUUGUCUCAACGCUCUUGUCCAAAUACCUCCAACAAAAUGGAAUGGCAGAACGUAAGAACCGUCAUUUGCUUGAUGUAACCUCUUACUUGUUCAAGCUUCUGUACCAUUCCGAUAUUGGAUGGAGGCUCUUUCCACAGCUAUCUUCCUGAACAAUCGUCUUCCUUCUACGAUUAUUGAUCUUGACUCUCCUUUUUUUGUCUUUUUUAAAUCCAUCCUGAUUAUAGUGAUUUACAUACUUUUGGAUGCGUGUGUUUUGUUCAUCUACCUCCAUUUGAAAGACAUAAGCUUAGAGCUCAAUCUGCUCAAAGCACAUUUUUGGGAUAUAAUCAUUCUCAUAAGGGCUUUGUGUGUUAUGAUAUUUUUAGGAAUGUGACAAUUUUUUAUAAUCAAUUUAUGCUUCACUGUUUUUCUCUUGCCAUGAAUGAUAUUGAUAUUCUUCCCAACUUUUCCACUAUGCCUCAAUAUAUAGAACGUUUUAAACCAGGAAAUGUAUAUGUUAGAAAACACACAGCAGGUUAUAAGCCCCUUUCUCGACAUUGAUCCGCCACCUGAUCCUGUGGUGGUUGCACCACGACGUUUUGAUAGAGCGUCUCAAGCACCAGAUAGAUAUUCACCAAACAGGUAUAAUUCCUCACAUACUUCUUUGUCUGUAUCUCUCUCUAGCAUAUUUAUUCCUACUUGUUACUCACAGGCUGUUAAAGAUGUGCGCUGGAUAAAAGCAAUGAAUGAGGAACUUCAGGCUCUUCAAGAGAAUUUCACAUCGGACGUGAACAGUAACAACGUGAAUAUUGAACACCCUAUGGCAGAGAACAGGCCAAAAAGAAAUCUCAAGUUGCUACAAUGAAGGCAGCAAAAAUGGUCACAAUGAAGGUGACUAAGGUUUCAAGAAAAAAGAAACCGCAAUGAAGGCGGCAGGUUGAUGCAGAAGCGAGACUCUCAAAGACCGAGAGCUCUGAUACCAUCUAAAAAAUUAGAGUAAAAAUAUAUUUUAUUGAAUUGAAAAUAUGUUGACAAUACAUCAGAUAUAUGUAUACACACACUAGAUUACUAUACAGCCAAAUCCCUAUUAGUACUCAUAUAAAUAAAUCCCUACUAGUACUCCUAUACAACUGAAUCCCUAUACUUAGGGAUAUUAAACAGAAACAGAUUUUGACAGUAUGAAUAAAAUGAUAAAUCUUAGAAGCAUGAACCAAGGUGAAACUCACUGUAGCGUUGAAAAUCCAUGAAAUCUGAGGAACAUAAGCAACAGUGCCUCUGAUUGUAGCAUUUCCAUCAGAUAUAAGAGGUAACUCUUCAAGCAUUGCUGAAAUAAGUGAUGUUUUCCCUUCUCCAGUACCUCCAAUGAUUGCAACUAAGCUUCCAACUGGUAUUUCAACAUUGAUAUUUGAUAAUGUGGCCUUCUCUGCCUGUGAGUUGAAUAGGUUUUUCAUACAAGUGAGUUUUGCACACAACUAAUAUCAAGAUUAUAAAUAGAAUGGAUCAAAACAAAUGAUAAAUGAAUUUUUUGCCUCAAUUUAAGAAUAUUUAAGAAUAUUACUCAAAAGUAAUAGUUUGGUCUGCUAAGAUCUAUAUGGACUUUAAAUAUCAAAAUUCCAGUUGUCCUUGGUGUUUUCAAUAGCAGACUGAAGAAAACUACGGUUUGUUCAAAUUCCUCUAUGCCACAGUGCCACUAUAGCAGCAUUUCUAUAGCGUCUAUAUGACAAUACUGGUAGUCCUUGAUAUGGCCUAUGUUGUACUUUUAGGAUAUGGCCUAUGGCUAUGACAUGGUUUUAUGUUGCAUUUUUUAAAAGUAAGUUUGUUUUAACUUUGAAAAUGAUUAUUGAUCAUUAUUUUGGAACCGUUUGUUAAUUAUUAUUCUUCAUAACAUGGUAAAAUUCUACUCUUCAUACAAACUGCUUUAAAUAAAAAUGUUACUAUAAAUAAUUUGUUCUCUAUAAUGUUGCUAUUAGUUUAAUAACAAUUGAGACAAGUUAACCAAAAUAAUGGCAAUGCUCACAAGAAUGAAUAAAAAUUUAACCUUAGGAUCCCAUGAAAAAUAUCCAUUCUUUAUUGAGAUGGCUGGAAGUCCUGGAACAAUAGGUGGAUUUUGUUUUAAAUUCCGUUCCUCGGCCAAAAACAGUUCCUCCAAACGUUGCAAUGAGACAUUUGCAUUUGCUACCUGUUAGAAAAUACAAUCAGUACACAGUAAGGAAUACCUACUUAUCAUAAGCAAAAUGCUUGAAAUGGAGAAAAAUAAAUAUUAGAGUGAAAUAAGUUACUAAUCCUUAUAAAUAUGAGACCUUCCAAGUUUAGCCCCUGUUAAAGUUUUUUGUGAAGUUAGUCUUCCAUAUACAUUAGUCUCUACAGUUAAAUUUCUGCCAAUGGACUAACAUAAGUCCUAGGCCAGAACAGUCACAUGGACAUUUAAAUUUACAUGGCGUCCACGUGACAAGUGAGUCAUAUUUUAUUAUAUCAAUUUUAUGUGAAAGAAAAAGAGCACAUUAACUAAAUGAGAUGAGGGUAAACAACAACCUUACUUAGUACACUUGGAAGCGUACUUAAAGGAAAGCGCAAAACUGAAAACAGUGAUAGUGAGGUGAAUGCCCUUGCAGGUGUCAAUUCUCUACCAAGUAAGGCAAACAUUCCAAAGGAAGUUACUGUCACAAGAACUGGGAUGCUGUUCAGUAUAAAAUUGUUUAACUGCAAUAAAGGAACUAAUAGUUAGGAAAAAGUUUACAAAUUUUCAUAGUCUAGGAGAAUUACAUUUGUCAUUGAAAUUGUUGACCAGCAUUCCAUUAAAACUGUUGUGUAGCACAUAAAUAUAGAAAAAGUAAUUUUAUGAUGGAACUUGAUGCUUAGAGUUGUGCCUAUGUCUAUGACAACCGUAUAGUUGUUGUAGUUCUUCUAUUCUGCAAUGCUUAGUGUUACAAAGUCCAAAAAUGUGAAUAAAUACUAAGGUCCAUAUUAUAGUAUUACCUCUGGCCCUACCGUAGGAGCAUUCGCCCCCGCACUCCUCAACCCUCAUAAUCGUUACCUAACUAGUGAAUGGGUCAAACCCAAGUGAAUACGUUCUUGCUCCGAUAUGCUCAACCAACUAUCUACUUAUCAGCGAAUAUGAUUCAUACUCAAAAUAGUACAAUGCUUGUUAUGCUACUUUUUAGAAAUGAAAAUCCCAAUUAUCUUAAUACGGAACACAUGAAAGAUUAUUAGAAUGAUAAAUUUCACUAGAUAAUAGAAAUAAUAUGGAAACAAUCUGAAUUAUAAAUUCGUGUCAAGGUUCAUAUUUAUACAGCAUAUAGAAGCUGUGCUUUGCGGAGCCAUGAUAGUUCUUCAUGUCGAAUGCUUUGAAUUCUAGACUGAAAGCUUGUUUCCCAUGCAUAACAUCUGAAUCACAUUCAGCAUAUCACAAACAAUGUUAAGAGAUCAUCUAUACUUGAAUAUUGAAAGUAGUGGACAUAUUUUAAUGUGCUCAUACUUUACUGUAUCCAUGGCCGAUAGAAUUUCAAUCAUGAGACCAACCCUUUUGUCUGUUUGUUGCAGUGCUUCUUUUGCCAGUUUUCUCACUUUGCUAAUAACAAAUGUCUGUUCCCAACAAAAAAAAAAAAUCUAUUUAUUAAUCAAAUAAAAAUACAUACAAUUAAAGAAAACAAUAGUUUUUAUUUAGAAAAUGAACUAGUGUCCUGUUUGGAUAGUGGCUUAAUUAAGAACUUAUCAUAUAAGUUCUUAUGUAGUAGCUAUUUCUGUAAAAAAAAAAAAAAAAGAUAACAUAAACUAAAACUAUUUUUGUAUUAGUUCUAAGCUAUCUUCGAGAGCUUAUGAAAAUAAGUUCAAAACAACUUACGGACAUGUCAUAAACUGUUUUCAUAAUCUCUCUCAAACAGUCUCGUAAAUGUUUAUGUCAGUAGAUAAACUUAAAUAAGACAAUCCAAAAAGACUAGAUACCAAAUAUAUCAAUUUCAUCUUAUACUAAGUUUAGGGUUUAGUACUCACUCUUCAUUAUAAUAGAUAGAAUUUCCAAAGUGAAAAAAAAGAUGAACAAGUGCAUGUGAGAUAUAAAAACUUGCCUGUAGUGGAAUGAUGAGAACUAGCAUUAGUGAUCCAAUAAAUGAAGCAACACCUAGUUCCUGGUAUAGAAGAACCAUAGCUAUAAUAAUGCGGAACGGCGCUGACCAUAAUCCAUGAAGUUGUUGACAUACUUCCUAAAUAUUGUAAAGGAAUAUUAUUAGCAAAUGAAAUGACAUUUGUACAUUAUCUACAUUCCAUAGUUAUUAAACAUAAAUUUAAUGCUUUAGCGGCUGCUAUUGCCCUUAUAGAAGAAGGAUAUGGAUUCACUCCAAUAUAAAAAAACAUGCAGUUGUACACAUUAAUUGAUCUCAUAUGUCGGUUUGAGAUAAGUAGGCUCACAAUACACAUUAACCAAAUCAUCUUUAAAUAAUUUUUAAUAUUGAUUUAAGAUCAGACAGUCAAGAUCAAUUACUGCCUUGCGCAGUUAUGUUGUGAAAUGCAAAUUGUUGAAAAUAUAUUUAUAUUUAUUACAUAUCAUGUAAAUAGGGAUAAUAUCUCUCAUAUUUAUUUUUGUAUUUAUUGCCUUGAGCCUAUAUAAAAUAGACUCCGUUGUGUAGUUCAGACACACGGUUUCACCAUAUGUCUCUCUCAUUUUCUCUUAUUCAACAUGGUAUUUAGAGCCUAUUAAGAGAGACAACCCUAUACCGUGAUUACCCCGGGACCCACUGUCUUUCGGUGAGAUUUUUUUUUUUCGGUAAACCGUGUCUCAAUUCCGGUUUACCCUUUCUUUGUCGCUUUUGGUUCAUUUUUUUUUCCAGUAAAUCAGUCCACUGUUCAUCGCGCGACACUGUUCAUCGCACGCACUAUUCAUGUACUGUUCAUCGAAAAAAAAAAAAAAACCCUUCUUCUGCCAUUGUUUUGCUGCUUGUUUUAGGUAACUACUUAUUGAUUAUAGCUACUUAUGAAGAUUUUCUUCGGUGGAGAGAGUAUUGUCAGAACUCGAGUUCCACUGUUUCCGCCGCACAAAGUGGUAAUUCACCUGUUUGCAUCUCACCUUCUCAUAACCCAUGGAUUCUCGAUUCUGGUGCAUCUGAUCACAUUACUGGUAAUAAGACUNNNNNNNNNNNNNNNNNNNNNNNNNNNNNNNNNNNNNNNNNNNNNNNNNNNNNNNNNNNNNNNNNNNNNNNNNNNNNNNNNNNNNNNNNNNNNNNNNNNNNNNNNNNNNNNNNNNNNNNNNNNNNNNNNNNNNNNNNNNNNNNNNNNNNNNNNNNNNNNNNNNNNNNNNNNNNNNNNNNNNNNNNNNNNNNNNNNNNNNNNNNNNNNNNNNNNNNNNNNNNNNNNNNNNNNNNNNNNNNNNNNNNNNNNUUUUUUUCGGUAAACCGUGUCUCAAUUCCGGUUUACCCUUUCUUUGUCGCUUUUGGUUCAUUUUUUUUUCCAGUAAAUCAGUCCACUGUUCAUCGCGCGACACUGUUCAUCGCACGCACUAUUCAUCGCACGGUACUGUUCAUCGAAAAAAAAAAAAAAUAUUCCGCCACUGUUUCGCUGCUGGUUUUUAGGUAACUACUUAUUGAUUAUGGCUACUUAUGAAGAUUUUCUUCGGUGGAGAGAGUAUUGUCAGAACUCGAGUUCCACUGUUUCCGCCGCACAAAGUGGUAAUUCACCUGUUUGCAUCUCACCUUCUCAUAACCCAUGGAUUCUCGAUUCUGGUGCAUCUGAUCACAUUACUGGUAAUAAGACUCUUUUCUCCUCUCUCACAACAUCUGGUUAUUUACCUAGGAUAGUCUCAGCCAAUGGUUCCCAAACACAGUCUCAAGGGAUUGGCACUGUCCAAAUCCUCCCUACUCUGUUAGUUAAAUCUGUCCUUUAUGUGCCUGGAUGCCCAUUUAAUUUAUGUCCUUUAUGUGCCUGGAUGUCCAUUUAAUUUAAUUUCUAUCAGUCGAUUGACUCGUUCUCAUGACUGUGUUGUCACAUUUACUAAUUGCAAUGUUACUUUGCAAGACCGAAUAUCAGGACGACAAAUUGGUGUCGGAUGUGAGUCUAAUGGUCUUUAUUAUCUCUAAAACCCAUCAACAGCGUGCCCUACCACAUAUUCUCCUCUUACUAUACAUGCUCAGUUAGGUCAUCCGAGUCUCCCUAAACUUCAACAAUUAGUACCUAAUCUAACCAAAUUAUCUAGCUUAAAUUGUGAAUCGUGUCAAUUAGGGAAACACACUCGUAGUCAUUUCACUAAUCGAGCUAAUAAACGAGCUUCCUCCCCAUUUGCUUUAGUUCACUCAGAUGUUUGGGGUCCCUCUCGUACUAUUUCCACACUUGAGUCUAGAUAUUUUGUUACCUUUAUCGAUGAUUUUUCCCGUUGUACGUGGUUAUUUUUAAUGAAAAAUAGGUCUGAAUUAUUUUCUAUUUUUGAACAAUUUUAUAAGGAAAUUAAAACUCAAUUUGGUGUAUCCAUUCGCACUUUGCGCAGUGAUAAUGCCCGUGAAUAUUUGUCCUAUCAAUUUCAAAAUUUUAUGACCUCUAACGGCAUUCUUCAUCAAACAUCUUGUGCUCAUACACCUCAACAAAAUGGGGUAGCCGAACGCAAAAAUCGGCACCUUAUUGAAACCACUCGUACUCUCCUUCUUCAUGGUAAUGUACCAUCUCGCUUUUGGGGCGAUGCUGUUUUAACGGCGUGCUAUCUUAUAAAUCGCAUGCCUUCGUCUGCUCUUGAUAACAAAGUCCCUCACUCGAUCCUCUUUCCUGGUACCCCUCUUCACUCACUUCCUCCUCGGGUCUUCGGAUCUACAUGUUUUGUCCACAAUCUCACUCCUGGUCUUGACAAACUUUCACCUCGAUCAUUAAAAUGUGUCUUUCUUGGUUAUCAUCGGUCCCAAAAAGGUUAUCGUUGUUAUUCUCCUACUCUUCGACGAUAUCUCAUAUCGGCUGAUGUCACAUUUUUUGAGUCUGUUACAUACUAUGAGUUGCUUCCUGAUCCUUUGUCUGCAACUAUUCCUCUGGACCUACCAAAGUCUAUUUCACCUUCUCUUUUACCAUUAGAGCCUAUUACGUAUGCCCCACCUGAGACACCUCCUGUGGCCCCUCCCACUGUCCCACUUGAGACUCCUCUUGUUGAUCCUCCAACUGUACAACCUCUUCAGACAUAUCGUCGUCGUCAACCACCAUCGGUUGUACAUGUCCCUACACCUGUUCUUGAUACCGAGGUCACUCCAGACGCUCCUUCACCGCCACCUCCUUCUUUAUCGGAUCCGACCCUUGAUAUUCCUAUUGCUAUUCGUAAAGGUAUACGUCCUACUCGUAACCCAUCCCCUCAUUACAUUGGCUUGAGUUACCAUCGUCUUUCUCCUUUGCAUUAUACUUGUUUGUCUUCCCUGUCUUCUGUUUCUAUUCCUAAAUCUCCAGGUGAAGCUUUAUCUCACCCAGAGUGGAGACAAGCAAUGAUUGACGAGAUGUGUGCACUUCAGAGUAGUGGUACAUGGGAAUUGGUUCCUUUACCGUCGGGAAAGUCUUUAGUAGGAUGUCGUUGGCUUUAUACGGUGAAAGUUGGUCCUGAUGGUAAGAUUGAUCGUUUUAAAGCUCGUUUGGUAGCAAAAGGGUACACUCAAGUUUUUGGCCUCGAUUACAGUGAUACUUUCUCCCCUGUGGCUAAGAUGGCCUCUGUUAGACUACUCCUCUCUAUUGCAGCCAUCAGACAUUGGUCUCUACAUCAACUUGACAUUAAAAAUGCUUUUUUGCAUGGUGACCUUGAAGAAGAAGUGUAUAUGGAGCAACCACCUGGGUUUGUUGCUCAGGGGGAGUCCUCUACCAUGGUUUGUCGACUUCAGAGGUCUCUCUAUGGUCUUAAACAGUCUCCUCGAGCUUGGUUUGGUAGAUUUAGCACAGUAGUGCAACAAUUUGGCAUGAUUCGAAGUGAAGCUGAUCAUUCUCUUUUUUAUCGUCACUCAACCCAAGGGUGCAUUUACUUGAUUGUCUAUGUAGAUGAUAUUGUCAUAACUGGUAGUGAUCAACAGGGCAUACUCCAAUUGAAACAACAUUUAUCUCAUCAGUUUCAAACUAAAGAUCUUGGCAAGCUCCGCUACUUCUUGGGUAUUGAGGUAGCCCAAUCUAAGGACGGCUUAGUAAUUUCACAAAGAAAAUAUGCUAUGGAUAUUCUUGAAGAGACAGGUUUGUUGAAUGCCAAACCGGUUGACACUCCUAUGGAUCCAAACGUCAAACUUCUACCUAAUCAUGGGGAGCCAUUUUUAGAUUCAGGGAGAUACAGAAGAUUGGUUGGUAAAUUAAACUACCUCACAGUCACCCGUCCAGACAUUUCUUUUGCAGUCAGUGUGGUAAGUCAAUUCUUAAAUUCUCCUUGUCAAGAACACUGGGAUGCUGUGAUACGAAUCUUGAAAUACAUUAAAGGUGCUCCAGGAAAAGGUCUAAUUUAUGAAAACAGAGGACAUACUCAGAUAGUUGGUUAUUCAGAUGCCGAUUGGGCAGGCUCACCCAUUGAUAGGCGAUCCACUUCUGGGUAUUGUGUACUUGUUGGAGGAAACUUAAUAUCUUGGAAGAGUAAGAAACAAAGUGUAGUUGCAAGAUCUAGCGCUGAAGCUGAAUACAGGGCUAUGGCAUUAGUGACUUGUGAGCUCAUUUGGUUGAAACAGUUACUCAAAGAGCUUCAAUUUGAAGAGGCAACACAAAUGACAUUAAUAUGUGAUAAUCAAGCAGCAUUGCACAUUGCCUCUAAUCCAGUUUUUCAUGAGAGGACCAAGCAUAUUGAGAUAGAUUGUCACUUUGUAAGGGAGAAGAUCGAAUCAGGCGACAUCACCACUAGUUUUGUUAAUUCCAAUGAUCAAUUGGCAGAUGUAUUCACUAAGUCUCUGAGAGGUCCUCGAAUCAGUUAUAUAUGUAACAAGCUUGGUGCAUAUGAUUUAUAUGCUCCAGCUUGAGGGGGAGUGUUGAAAAUAUAUUUAUAUUUAUUACAUAUCAUGUAAAUAGGGAUAAUAUCUCCCAUAUUUAUUUUUGUAUUUAUUGCCUUGAGCCUAUAUAAAACAGACUCCGUUGUGUAGUUCAGACACACGGUUUCACCAUAUGUCUCUCUCAUUUUCUCUUAUUCAACAUAUAUUAAACAUUUCGGUUAUUGAUUUGAGAUCAAAUAAUUCACAUUACACUUUCACCAAACUAGCUUUACAUAACAUCUUUCAUUGAUAUGAGAUUCGACAAUUGAAAUCAGUAAGCGCAUGACACAAUUAUUGUCAGGAAUGCGUUUCUGUGGGUGGUCAUGCAAUUCCACAAUCCAAUUCUUUCUCCACUUUAGCCUGUAUAUUGGUAUUAAGAAAUUUAAUUAUUAAUCCCUACUGAGUGUAAUGAUAGGACUGAUACAUAAAUCAUUUGAUCAUUUUAUCAAAUGAUAUCCAAACAUUAUUGAUUGUGAUUCUGGCUAAAUGGUUUUCCUUUAAUAUUUGAAAUUCAUAUAAUUAAGAAAUUGAACUACUUUCUUUUAUAAAAUUUCUGCUUGGACGCUUUCAUUAUAAGUGGACAAAGUGGUGGCAGCAAUACUUGGGAGGACUUGGCCUUCUUAACCUCUCUGUCGGUUCCUAAAGAGAGACUAUGCAUUUCAGUAUCCCACCAUGGCUGCAGAGGAGCUCAAAAGCAUAAGAUUGAACUUCAGCAACAAAUUCACCAAAAUUUGCAAUAGGUUCUUGUUUAUCAGAGGAAACAUGCCAGCAUUUCACGUCAUUCCCAUCAGUCGGCGUGCCAAAUCUACAUGCAAUGCAUGGCCACCCUGCAUCAAGCAAUAGCAUAAGAAUCAUUUGCAUUAAAAAUCAUGUUGUCUCAGGUUGCACAAGAUACAAAAUCAGCAUUUGUGACACAUUAAAAAUCGAGUAUAAGGAGGGAGGAGAACGAAAGACACAAACCUUGUAAGCUACGAUGUGUGCCAUUGGGAGUCGUUGAUUGCCAAACUGAGAAAACAGCGAGAUAUCACCGAUAAGAUCAAAAAUCUUGUGAUGACAUGGUUCAUCACUUAAACGAAGAGGUUGAUUCAACCAACCUUUGCUUGUACUGCAAAAGAAAACAGUAAAAAUUAUACAAUGAUAUGUACCAACAAUAGAACAUAAUUCAGUGUACUAAUGGAAAUGAAUUUAUCUGAUCUCAACUGAUUACUGAUCUUAUUAUUUGAGAUUAAGGUAUAAAUUUCUAAUAUUGGGUCUUGCAAAGGAAUCGUGAAAACUGCGUCUUAUGAUUGUAACUAAGUUAUAAAUACCAUAAAUAAUGCCAUACUUUGACGAAAUAGUGACUUACUUUAAAAAUCUAGUGCCAAGAUUUAUGAUCCUAAUUACAUGGAUCUAUGCUUUUCGAGCAUGAAAUUUUGGGUAAAUUCUAACGAAUCAAUGUGUCUGCAUAAACUGUGCUUUAGUAUCAUAAGCAAUCAAAACUGAUCUCUAGCUAUCACAUAGCUGAGCAUUAAGAACGGUUUUAAUACAAAUUUAUAGGAAAGUAAAUACCUGCACACAAUGGCAUUUUCCAGAGAGCCCCCUUUGAUAAGUCCAGCAUUGCGCAUUUGCUCAACCUGCAAAAGCUUAUUGAUUAUGGCUACUUAUGAAGAUUUUCUUUGGUGGUUAGAGUAUUGUCAAAACUCGAGUUCCGUUGUUUCAACUGCACAAAGUGGUAAGUCACUUGUUUGCAUCUCACUUUCUCAUAGCCCAUGGAUUCUCGAUUCUGGUGCAUCUGAUCACAUUACUGGUAAUAAGACUCUUUUCUCCCCUCUCAACAUCUGGUUAUUUACCUAGGAUAGUCUCAGCCAAUGGUUCCCAAACACAGUCUCAAGGGAUUGGCACUGUCCAAAUCCUCCCUACUCUGUUAGUUAAAUCUGUCCUUUAUGUGCCUGGAUGCCCAUUUAAUUUAAUUUCUAUCAGUCGAUUGACUCGUUCUCAUGACUGUGUUGUCACAUUUACUAAUUGCAAUGUUACUUUGCAAGACCGAAUAUCAGGACGACAAAUUGGUGUCGGAUGUGAGUCUAAUGGUCUUUAUUAUCUCUCAAACCCAUCAACAGCGUGCCCUACCACAUAUUCUCCUCUUACUAUACAUGCUCAGUUAGGUCAUCCGAGUCUUCCCAAACUUCAACAAUUAGUACCUAAUCUAACCAAAAUAUCUAGCUUAAAUUGUGAGUCGUGUCAAUUAGGGAAACACACUCGUAGUCAUUUCACUGAUCGAGCUAAUAAACGAGCUUCCUCCCCAUUUGCUUUAGUUCACUCAGAUGUUUGGGGUCCCUCUCGUACUAUUUCCACACUUGAGUCUAGAUAUUUUGUUACCUUUAUCGAUGAUUUUUCCCGUUGUACGUGGUUAUUUUUAAUGAAAAAUAGGUCUGAAUUAUUUUCUAUUUUUGAACAAUUUUAUAAGGAAAUUAAAACUCAAUUUGGUGUAUCCAUUCGCACUUUGCGCAGUGAUAAUGCCCGUGAAUAUUUGUCCCAUCAAUUUCAAAAUUUUAUGACCUCUAACGGCAUUCUUCAUCAAACAUCUUGUGCUCAUACACCUCAACAAAAUGGGGUAGCCGAACGCAAAAAUCGGCACCUUAUUGAAACCACUCGUACUCUCCUUCUUCAUGGUAAUGUACCAUCUCGCUUUUGGGGCGAUGCUGUUCUAACGGCGUGCUAUCUUAUAAAUCGCAUGCCUUCGUCUGCUCUUGAUAACAAAGUCCCUCACUCGAUCCUCUUUCCUGGUACCCCUCUUCACUCACUUCCUCCUCGGGUCUUCGGAUCUACAUGUUUUGUCCACAAUCUCACUCCUGGUCUUGACAAACUUUCAGCUCGAUCAUUAAAAUGUGUCUUUCUGGGUUAUCAUCGGUCCCAAAAAGGUUAUCGUUGUUAUUCUCCUACUCUUCGACGAUAUCUCAUAUCGGUUGAUGUCACAUUUUUUGAGUCUGUUACAUACUAUGAGUCGCUUCCUGAUCCUUUGUCUGCAACUAUUCCUCUGGACCUACCAAAGUCUAUUUCACCUUCUCUUUUACCAUUAGAGCCUAUUACGUAUGCCCCACCUGAGACACCUCCUGUGGCCCCUCCCACUGUCCCACUUGAGACUCCUCUUGUUGAUCCUCCAACUGUACAACCUCUUCAGACAUAUCGUCGUCGUCAACCACCAUCGGUUGUACAUGUCCCUACACCUGUUCUUGAUACCGAGGUCACUCCAGACGCUCCUUCACCGCCACCUCCUUCUUUAUCGGAUCCGACCCUUGAUAUUCCUAUUGCUAUUCGUAAAGGUAUACGUCCUACUCGUAACCCAUCCCCUCAUUACAUUGGCUUGAGUUACCAUCGUCUUUCUCCUUUGCAUUAUACUUGUUUGUCUUCCCUGUCUUCUGUUUCUAUUCCUAAAUCUCCAGGUGAAGCUUUAUCUCACCCAGAGUGGAGACAAGCAAUGAUUGACGAGAUGUGUGCACUUCAGAGUAGUGGUACAUGGGAAUUGGUUCCUUUACCGUCGGGAAAGUCUUUAGUAGGAUGUCGUUGGCUUUAUACGGUGAAAGUUGGUCCUGAUGGUAAGAUUGAUCGUUUUAAAGCUCGUUUGGUAGCAAAAGGGUACACUCAAGUUUUUGGCCUCGAUUACAGUGAUACUUUCUCCCCUGUGGCUAAGAUGGCCUCUGUUAGACUACUCCUCUCUAUUGCAGCCAUCAGACAUUGGUCUCUACAUCAACUUGACAUUAAAAAUGCUUUUUUGCAUGGUGACCUUGAAGAAGAAGUGUAUAUGGAGCAACCACCUGGGUUUGUUGCUCAGGGGGAGUCCUCUACCAUGGUUUGUCGACUUCAGAGGUCUCUCUAUGGUCUUAAACAGUCUCCUCGAGCUUGGUUUGGUAGAUUUAGCACAGUAGUGCAACAAUUUGGCAUGAUUCGAAGUGAAGCUGAUCAUUCUCUUUUUUAUCGUCACUCAACCCAAGGGUGCAUUUACUUGAUUGUCUAUGUAGAUGAUAUUGUCAUAACUGGUAGUGAUCAACAGGGCAUACUCCAAUUGAAACAACAUUUAUCUCAUCAGUUUCAAACUAAAGAUCUUGGCAAGCUCCGCUACUUCUUGGGUAUUGAGGUAGCCCAAUCUAAGGACGGCUUAGUAAUUUCACAAAGAAAAUAUGCUAUGGAUAUUCUUGAAGAGACAGGUUUGUUGAAUGCCAAACCGGUUGACACUCCUAUGGAUCCAAACGUCAAACUUCUACCUAAUCAUGGGGAGCCAUUUUUAGAUUCAGGGAGAUACAGAAGAUUGGUUGGUAAAUUAAACUACCUCACAGUCACCCGUCCAGACAUUUCUUUUGCAGUCAGUGUGGUAAGUCAAUUCUUAAAUUCUCCUUGUCAAGAACACUGGGAUGCUGUGAUACGAAUCUUGAAAUACAUUAAAGGUGCUCCAGGAAAAGGUCUAAUUUAUGAAAACAGAGGACAUACUCAGAUAGUUGGUUAUUCAGAUGCCGAUUGGGCAGGCUCACCCAUUGAUUGGCGAUCUACUUCUGGGUAUUGUGUACUUGUUGGAGGAAACUUAAUAUCUUGGAAGAGUAAGAAACAAAGUGUAGUUGCAAGAUCUAGCACUGAAGCUGAAUACAGGGCUAUGGCAUUAGUGACCUGUGAGCUCAUUUGGUUGAAACAGUUACUCAAAGAGCUUCAAUUUGAAGAGGCAACACAAAUGACAUUAAUAUGUGAUAAUCAAGCAGCAUUGCACAUUGCCUCUAAUCCAGUUUUUCAUGAGAGGACCAAACAUAUUGAGAUAGAUUGUCACUUUGUAAGGGAGAAGAUCGAAUCAGGCGACAUCACCACUAGUUUUGUUAAUUCCAAUGAUCAAUUGGCAGAUGUAUUCACUAAGUCUCUAAGAGGUCCUCGAAUCAGUUAUAUAUGUAACAAGCUUGGUGCAUAUGAUUUAUAUGCUCCAGCUUGAGGGAGAGUGUUGAAAAUAUAUUUAUAUUUAUUACAUAUCAUGUAAAUAGGGAUAAUAUCUCCCAUAUUUAUUUUUGUAUUUAUUGCCUUGAGCCUAUAUAAAACAGACUCCGUUGUGUAGUUCAGACACACGGUUUCACCAUAUGUCUCUCUCAUUUUCUCUUAUUCAACACAAAUCAUAGUACAUUUAGGAUAGCGUAGUGGUUUACAUAGCGCUAUUUGACAAAAAAAAACUGCAAUGCAACAGCGCUAUUAGCACCGCUAUUUGACAACACUCUCUAUGUCAUAAUGGAAAGACUUGCACAUUCAGUUUAAACAGAAAAUGAACCUGUAAUGCAUUGGCAUCAGUUGUUAUCAUAUUCAUAAGCUUCCCAGAUGAAAACUUCUUUCUACUUUCAUGAGUUAGCCUCAAAGAUUUUCUGAAUACAGCAGCCACCUAUAACAAUUACACAAAGUCACAUAUAAUCUAUGUAGAUAAAUAAAAUAAUAAAAUACAUUAGGAAAAAGAGUUGACAUACCAAUGUUGAUCUAAGUUGAAAACCAACACGCAUAACAUUCUGGACAUACUGUGCAUCGCAUAGAACACAAACUAACUGAAAACAGUAUAGAAACAUCUAUUAAUUGUUCUUUUCCUAUUUUUAUUGAAUGAUAUGAAAAAGUAUAAAAUAGUUAUGAUAUCAAAGACAAACUCUAUCCAUUGUGAAAAGUAUAAAAUGCAUACUCCUCUAUCAUUCUUCAUGUGUUAAGAAUACAUACAAGUAAAGCUAUUUGGGAAUGGUGAUAAUCCUAGACAUGGCAAAAGUUGCUCAAGUAGCCCGUACUGUGCUAGAACAACAAACCCGACUCUAAAGAAAACAGAUCAGUAAUCGCACACAAGAACACAAUUAAUAUAUAUUUUCAUAUAUUAGUGAUGUUCUAUCUAUAUAGCUAGAAAACAUGGAAAAAAGGCACAAGAAAAACCUCAUCCACCUUUUUUUUUAUAAGCACCUCAUCUACACUUAAACGUACAUGGUUCACCCGAACCUGAAUUUACUGAACCAACACUCUUCAAAUUAUAAGAGAAAGUAGCCAUACCACUCCGACAAAUAUGGAGAAGGCGUAGAUGUAAUCGAUCCACGACGGAUCUCCGUUUUGCAUUGACUGCAAUUAUAAAUAACAGUCACAAACUAUAAUAUAUCUAGUUCAAGCCAUAAACAUUAUAUUGCAUGUGUUGUUGGAUUUAUCUGAGUAUCAUUGUUCUUCUUUGCACUCUUUAUUUUCUAUCUUCAUAUCAAUCCAAUUUGGUUUUUUGGGGAGAAAUAAACUUACAUCUAAGAGACGGCUCAGAAAAAUAGGCCCCACAAAUAGAAAAAGUUCAUUACCAAUCUGCAAAGAUCAUUAAAAAUCCCAAGUUCCACAAAAGUCAGCACAGACGUGGUUCAACAAUGUUAUCACAUGCCUUUUAAUGUACAAUUUUUUCCUACUCCAAUGAGAUUAAUAGUUACUAUAAAAUGUAAAUCUUGUACAUUAUAGUGACAGUAAUCCUCUUAACCUGAAAUUAGAAAUAACUUCCAAUAUGAAAAUGUUUACUUAUUCAUUUAAGACACUUUAAGUUAAAGAUAAAAAAAGAUUUGUGGUCUCACCUUAUAGAUCCCUCCAUACCAAAACCUAACAAAAUUUAAACCAAAUCAAAUAAUAAUUGAGAAAACAACAUAACUAAGGUCAUCUUGAAAAGUCUAAAUAAAGAUCUAACAAUUAGGCACUAUUUGGUAAAAAGUAGCAGAUGACAGAUAAGUUAGCUGAUAGCGGGUGAGCUUAUAGCAGAUAGCGAAUAAGCUAGUUGAUAGCUGUUACCGGAUAAGCUAGCAGAUAAAAUUUGAAGUGUUUGGUAAAAUUAGCGGCAGAACUAACUGAUAAAUACAAAUUGACUUAUAAAAUAUAUUUUUAUUUAAAAUUUAAAUAUAUUUGUUAGAAUUCAAAGUAUGAUUUAUUAUUUUUUGACUGUACAAUUUCCUAGGUUCAAUGGUAGAACUUCUAGUCAAAUACAAGUCCCUAGUAUUUGAAUGUAAUUAUUGUAACCUCAUUAUAAAUAGAAUGUGUGUGAUCUUGUUUGAGACACACAAGAAACACAACAAAUCACAUAUUUUACAUGGUAUUAGAGCAGAUUCAUCCUAGUGCUGCUCUGCCUUUUCCAACUAUGCCAUAACCCUUUUAUUUUUAUUUCUUUUAUCCUUCAAAAUUCUGUGUUCCAGCUGUGCUUUUCCAUUCCAGCUGUGCGUAUACUAUUCUAGUGCAACCCACCACCACAGACCGCCGCGCAACCCUCAGGUGAACACGGUGACAUUUUUUUUUUUUGCGCUGCCAAACUCCAGCGAACUCGGUAACAUAUCUGGCCACCAAUUUUUCAAAGUCAGUCGUCGCUCAAGGCCUUACGGCACAUUCCAAGGUCAUUUUUCAACUUUUGGUGAUUUUUUAACAUCUUUUCUUCUCUUUCACCUAACGUUGAUCGUCAUGUCCAACACCGGAUCUGCUACUGCCUCCUCUUCCGUGUUCAGUUUCACUAUGCUUCCUUUGAUUUCGUGCGAAAAAUUGGUAGGUGCAGCCAAUUACGCAGGAUGGGCAGCAGCCUUUGAACUUUGGUUCCAAGGACAAGGUCGUAAAGACCAUUUGCUUAAACAGUCCAAGGAAGUCGCUGCCAAAGAUCAAGACAAUUGGAAACAGAUAGAUGUCUCUCUAUGCAGCGUUCUUUGGUUUUCAAUCGAUGUCAAACUUCAAUCUCAGUUUCGCUCGUUUAAAACAUGUUAUGAUGUUUGGGCAAAAGCGAAGAAGACAUACUCCAAUGACGUUAAUUGUUUAUAUACUGUAGUCUCUAAUCUUAUUUCCAUGAAGAAACAAGAAAUGGAUAUGCAAAGCUACAUAGGUAAGCUUAAUAGUUUGAUUGCUGAUUUUGAUGCACUUAUGUCCUAUACUGACGGUGCCGAAACACAUGCUGAACAACGUGGAAAAUUCUUUAUGGUUCUGGCCCUUGCGGGUCUUACACCAGAUCUUGAUUUAGUUCGCAACCAAAUUCAAUCUGGUGCUACUGUUCCCUCAUAUGAAACUGUUUGUGAACAAUUACUGCGUCUUUCGGCCCCUUCAGCUCCUGCUCCAGUCGUUGCUUCUCUCAAUGUGCCAGUUGAAUCUACUACACUCGUCUCUAAUUCUUAUCAACGAGGUGGUAGAGGAGGAGGACGUGGACAUAAUCGUGGUCGAACUCGAUGCAACUAUUGCAACCGUUUUGGCCACGUUGAAGCACAAUGUCGCACCAAAGCUAAUCAACUGCAGCCUAAAGUCGCCAAUGUUGCUCAAAUUGAGGCCCUUGACACAAGUGAUCAAGUCACGCUUUCUACCACAUAAUAUAAUGAGUACAUCAAGCUAAAGGCUCAAAUGCAAACUACCACACAAGUUGCCUCUGUUGCUAAGAUCGGUAAUCCUAUUGCCUUUGUUACACAAUCUUCUUCACUUGGACCUUGGAUACCUGACUCAGACGCCUCUGAUCAUAUGUCUGGUAAUAAAUUGUUUUUCUCAUGUUUGACUUAUAUGGACACACUACCUAGUAUUACUUUGGCUAAUGGGUCACAAACCAAAUGUCAUGGUAUUGGCCAAGCAAAUCCCCUACCCAAACUCUCUUUGGACUCUGUGCUUUAUGUCACUAGUUGUCCAUUUAACUUAAUAUCCAUCAGUAAACUCACUCGUACCCUACCUUACUCUGUUACAUUUGCUAAUGGUUAUGUUCUUGUGCAGGAUCGGAGUACUGGGACGACGAUUAGAGUAGGGCAUGAGUCUCAAGGCCUAUAUUACCUUUCGGCACCUACAACGCCUAUUGCAUGUUCCGCCGUCGAGUCUCCACAUAUUAUCCAUCAAUGUUUGGGUCAUCCUAGCCUUCAAAAGUUGCAUCUUAUAGUUCCGAGUCUGUCAAAAGUGUUUACCUUAGAGUGUGAGCCAUGUCAGUUCGGGAAACAUACUAGGAGUUUAUUUCCUCACAGAGUCAAUAAAAGAGUUGCAUCUCCUUUUGCUUUAGUUCAUGCUGAUAUUUGGGGUCGGAGUCGUGUUGUUUCAUGUUUGGGUUUUCAAUAUUUUGUUACUUUUAUUGAUGAUUUUUCCCGAUGCACUUGGAUAUUUUUAAUGAAAAACCGCUCAGAUGUUUUCUCAAUUUUUCAAACCUUUUACUCAAAAAUAAACACACAAUUUGGUACUCAGAUAAAAAUAUUGCAAAGUGAUAACGCUCGCGAAUAUUUGUCUACGUCUUUUCAAUCUUUUUUGACUUCACAGGGCAUCCUCCAACAAACUUCGUGUGCUCAUACCCCUCAACAAAACGGUGUCGCUGAGAGAAAGAACCGACACUUGGUGGAAACGGCUCGUACCAUGCUCCUUCACAAUAAUGUACCUCCUCGUUUUUGGGGAGAUGCAAUUCUCACAGCUUGCUACUUAAUCAACCGCAUGUCUUCCUCUGUACUUGAAAACAAGGUACCACAUUCUAUUUUGUUUCCUCAACAACAUCUUUAUACCCUACCACUCUGCAUCUUCGGGUGCACGUGUUUUGUUCAUGACCUUACUCCAGGGAAAGAUAAGUUGGCUGUAAAAUCCCUUAAGUGUCUUUUUCUCGGCUACUCUCAUCUGCAGAAAGGUUAUCGGUGCUAUUCCCCAGAUCUUCGACGAUACUUUGUCUCUUGCGAUGUCAGUUUCUUUGAGACUCGCCCCUUCUUUCUCCCUACUGCAAAAGAGUUCAAUGAUUCUGAUCAGUCACAAUCUCUCUCUCCAGAGGUCCUUAAUCUCCCCAUUGCACCCACCCCUGUCUCCAUUCCCACCCCUGUCUCUAGCACCACCCUACGCACCUACCAACGGAGGCCCCGUCCACCACCCGCUCCUCAAGACUCAUCCGCUACUCUACCUGACUCUCACUCUCCGCAUCCUACACCAGAGCUACCCAUUGCUCUGCGUAAAGAUAACAGGUCAUCUCGAAAUCCUAAUCCUAUAUAUGCUUGUCAUUUGAAUUAUAAUCAAUUAUCUACAUCCUAUUAUGCUUUUGUGGCUUCCUUGGAUUCUGUGUCUAUUCCGAAAACUACAGGUGAAGCUAUGUCUGAUCCUGGCUGGCGACAAGCAAUGAUAGAUGAAAUGACUGCUUUGCACUCCAACAGGACAUGGGAUUUAGUACCUUUACCUGAUGACAAAACCACAGUGGGUGUCGCUAGGUCUAUAUAGUCAAAGUUGGGCCUUAUGGAAAGAUUGAUCGCUUAAAAGCUCGUCUUGUGGCAAAAGGAUACACACAGAUCUUUGGUCUUGACUAUGGGGAUACCUUUUCUCCGGUUGCCAAAAUCGCAUCCGUCCGACUUUUUCUUGCCAUAGCUGCUAUUCACCACUGGCCACUCCAUCAAUUAGACAUAAAAAACGCCUUCCUGCAUGGAGAGUUACAAGAGGAGGUGUAUAUGGCACAACCACAAGGCUUCACUGUUAGCGGUUCCUCUCACUUGGUAUGUCGAUUACGUCGAUCUCUAUAUGGCCUGAAACAAUCUCCCCGUGCUUGGUUUGGGAGGUUUAGUACCGUGCUCCAAGAGUAUGGUAUGACUAGAUGUGAAGCUGAUUACUCGGUUUUUCUUCUUGCACUCUUCACCAACCACUUGCAUCUACCUGCUUGUCUAUGUUGACGACAUCAUCAUCAUAGGUAAUGACCAGGUUGGCAUUCAUCAGCUCAAACAACAUUUGUCUCAAAACUUUCAGACUAAAGAUUUGGGGCCGCUAAAAUAUUUUUUGGGGAUUGAGGUUGCUCAGUCUAAGACAAGUAUAGCAAUUACUCAGCGAAAAUAUGCCCUUGAUAUACUUGAAGAAACAGGCAUGCUUGAUUGUCGCCCGCGUGAUACUCCCAUGGAUCCUAAUGUCAAGCUCCUACCAGGUCAGGGGGAGCCAAUGCAAGACCCUGAUAGAUAUCGACGACUUGUUGGCAAACUUAAUUAUCUUACAGUAACUAGACCUGAUAUUACAUUUGCUGUAAGUGUAGUAAGUCAAUUUCUAAAUGCUCCAUGUGAUAGUCAUUGGAAUGCUGUGAUUCAUAUUCUUAGGUAUAUCAAGAAUGCACCAGGAAAAGGAUUGCUUUAAGAAGACAAGGGUAAUACCAAUGUUGUUGGCUACUCUGAUGCUGAUUGAGCAGGGUCACCAUCAGAUAGAAGAUCCACUUCUGGGUAUUGUGUCCUUGUUGGAGGCAAUUUGAUAUCAUGGCGGAGCAAGAAGCAAAACAUAGUCGCAAGAUCAAGUGCAGAAGCGGAAUAUCGUGCUAUGGCUGCAUCGGCUUGUGAACUUACAUGACUAAAACAGUUACUCAAACAACUCAAGUUAGGAGAUGUCAACGUAAUGAAACUAAUUUGUGAUAACCAAGCUCAACUUCAUAUUGCUUCCAAUCCGGUCUUCCAUGAAAGAACAAAGCACAUAGAAAUUGAUUGUCAUUUUGUAAGAGACAAAGUUCUUUCCGGAGAAAUCACAACUAAUUUUGUUGGAUCAAAUGAUCAAUUGGCUGACAUAUUCACUAAGUCACUUAGGGGUUCUCAAAUUGAAUUUAUAUGUAACAAGCUUGGUGCAUAUGAUAUAUAUGCUCCAGCUUGAGGAGGAGUGUUAGAAUUCAAAGUAUGGUUUAUUAUUCUUUGACUGUACAAUUUCCUAAGUUCAAUGGUAGAACUUCUAGUCAAAUACAAGUCCCUAGUAUUUGAAUGUAAUUAUUGUAACCUCGUUAUAAAUAGAAUGUGUGUAAUCUUGUUUGAGACACAUGAAACACAACAAAUCACAUAUUUUACAAUAUUGAAUCAAGAUAAAGAGGGUAAAAACUAAGAGAAAAUAUGAUACGCUAUAAACUCAAACGCUACUUGUCAUAGCAUCUCAAAAAAUACUAUAAGCUCGUGAGAGAAAACCUUAACCAAACAACUCUAUUUUGAUGAUACGAGUUUAUAUGCUAUAAGCUAACUGUUUGACCUUGCCAAAUAAGCCUUAAAGGGUUAUCAUGAAAAAGUUCUCAAUAUGCACCUUUUCCCUAGGCUAUUGUUAAAUGCUCUUAAAAGCCAAGGGUUAGAGCUUUGAAAUUCUGACAUCCAGCACUUUUGGAACCUGCAGAAAUAAAAUAAAAUAAAAAGUACUUAAAAAUAUAUAUAUGAGUUUCAUGCAAAACCAUACAAUAAGAAAAGAGAAUGUAUACUUUUCAUUUAAUGUCUCUGUUUGAUCCCACUUGUCUAGCUUCCAAACAUCCUUUUCUGUAAUGGGUUUUCUGUAACCUUGUUUCAUGAGUGGAGUUAUCCAUCCAAAACUUAAUCCUUCAUAUAAUACAUAAAUAAAACAUUAAUACUCCCUCUACUCGGAAAUAUAAGCAAAGAAAUACAUAUAUUUGAUGGUCUUAAACAUUUUUUGGAUUACUCACUAGAUAAUAAAUUGGCACACAUCUCUGGGCAAACUUGAUCAUCUCCACAAAGUGGUUCAUAUUCACCAUUUUCAGGUAUUUCAGCUUGGAUUGUUGUAUGAUGAGAAUAUGGAACCAAAUUAGGAACGUAAACUAGAAGUAAGGUACCAAACAACACCUACAUGAUCAGAUAAAGUAGCCAUAAUAAGUUCAUUAUGAUGUAUCUGAGUGACUCAGUGACAACAUCAUUUAAAUACCAUAUCUACAAAGAUUUUGAACCAUAAAUUGUGUAUAUAAUACAUUACAACAUUCAUCCAAAUCACGGAUGAAUUGAGUCAAGUUUUUUAAAGUGCUCUAAGGCCAACACAGGUGUCGGACACAGAUGAAUUAAGAGAUUCAUGCCGGUGUCUGACAUGACAUAGGUGUUCAAUCUGAAAUGUUGAUACUACAUAGGAUACUGGUAGCCAACUUUAAUAUAAUAUGAAUGUACUAAGCACUGCAUUCCUAUAAAUGAAAACAAAAUACAAUUAUAAUGAAGAUUAUACUAAACUUCGCUAAAAGAGGUGAAAAUCAGAAAUGUACCUGGAAGAUAACAGUGCUAAUAUACAGAAAUAGAGCAGAUCUGCAAAGUGCAAAAUUGAAAACAAAGCAUGAGUGUGGUGCUACCCAAACCAUAAAAAAUGAAGCAUAAUUUUCCUAGUCUUCUUUUCCAUUUUAUAGAAGAUUUCAAAAUUCACUUCCACUUAACUGUAUUUUUUAGCCAUAACAGGCUAAAUGUUGUAAGAACUUAUACAAACAACUGAUAUGUUUUCUCAUAUUUUGAAGAAAAUUAAAUAAUUUGAAUUUAUUUCACUUUUCAUUCACAUAUGUGAAAUUUGAAAAUGUAAUGUGUUGAAAAGUUACAAGCUAACCUGUUAGAGUAAUCUUUGACUGACAGAAGAAGGUCAAGCAUUACAAUAUCUCCCACCAAAACAUAAAUAACUCCAAACCUUACCAACCACCUAAAUUGCCUAAUAUAAACCUUGGUUUCCAAGAGGAUGAGAAUUAUCAUUGAGAACCAAGCAAGUGAUUCAAUGACCAGAGCUGUUAUCUUGAAGAACACAAAAACAGAAAGGGGUUUAAAUUUCUCAUUCCACCAAAAUUUAACAUAUUUCUCUAUUACAAGUUACACAACAUUUAACUUUUCGAAAAUGAUAACAAGUGCUCUAAGGGCACAUGUUAAGGAAUCAAAUGUAGAAAUAAUGUUUUAGAAUUUGUGUAUUCAACUUCUCAAAAGUUUAAAAAAAUUACUCUUUUCAACACAAAGUUUCGACUUUCUUUCUCCUGUUGAAAAUAAAAUAACAUUAUGUAAGUAAAUAGAAUAUCUUGUAACUAUUCCUAUCAUUCUAUGUAUUUAUUACUCAUAGUCUACAUACAAAACUUCCCUUUUGUAGUUGAAACACAUGGGUUAUUCAACCUACCUCUCAAUAUUCUCUUCUCAUUCAAUAUGCUAUCCAGAGCCUAUUGAGAGGCAAACCUAAUCUUCAACUACUCGGUGGACCCACUAUCUCUGGUGAGAAUUUUUUUUGGAAAACCGUGUUCUCAACUCUGGUUGCCUCCCUCCCUAUGUUGCUACGAUACUGUUUUCCCAUUUUUCCCAGCCAACCACGCUCUCCGCUGCCGCUCCCUCUGACGACCUUUCCGGCGAACGACCACUCCAACAGCGUCGUCCACCCCAGAUCAACCCACCCCUCAACGCGUGUCGUCAACAACCCUCUCACGUGCCCAAACGUUCCAGGCGCGUCAGAUCCACGCGUCACCUAUUGCCACUGUGCGUGACGGUGCGUCCGGCAGUCGUUUACGACGCGGCCUCUCUCUUUGCACUCGCUUCAACCUUCUGAUCCCAUAUCUGCCUUGAGUUUUUAAUUUCGAGUCACGGAUAUACGCGUUCCAAUUCAAACAGCCCCUAUUGUCACUGUUUGCUGAAUAUCAUUACUCUAAAGACGAUAGAUGGUUCUAUUUUUACAUAUCUUGGCAACUUUCAUAGUGCACUUCAUGAUUUUAAUGAACUUCUCCAUCCUGCUGCAAGUAAUCCAGUUGGACAAAAGGAGCUGGAUCAACACAAUACCUUCAUGUUUCUUGCACUUUAUGGCUUGCCCCAGGAGUACUCUGCAACUCGUGAUAAAAUUUUGGGGUUUGUUACUGUUCUGGAUAUGUCUACCACCUCAGCGAUCCCUCUUCAAGUACCAGCAAAACAUUCAGCUGAACCUUCUAUUACUUCAGCACCGGGUGACACUGGUGCCCUUGCAUCUCUGGGACAUAAUCAGAGUCGCUCUCGUGGAGGACCAUCCUUCUCUAAGCCUUGUCCCAAAUGUGAGCAUUGUAAUCGACUUGAACACACUAAUGAUCGCUAUUGGAAGUUGCAUGGUAAGCUUUCGCCUUCGAUAAAUGCAACUCAGCUUGAUCCUUCUGCCAUUAUUUAGACUACACCUUCUCCACAGGGUUCCCCAGCAAGUUAUGAAGAUUUCCUCCAGUGGGUUCAGAGUCAUCCGAACUCUGGUUUUACUACUUCGGUUGCACACACUGGUAAUUCAUCUAUUUACCUCUCUCACUCAUCUGCUCUUGGUCCUUGGGUUCUUGAUUCUGAUGAGUCAGAUCAUCACUGGUAAUAAAGGUCUCUUCUCUCUCUACAUCUGGUUUUUUACCUACUAUAACUUCUACCAAUUGCUCUUAAACCCGGUCCCAAGGGGUUGACAUUGUCCAAAUUAUCCCUUCCAUUUCAGUUGCAUUUGUUCUCAAUGUACCUAGAUGUCCUUUUAAUUUACUUUCAGUUAGUCGAUUAACUUAGUCCCAUGACUAUAUUAUUACUUUUACUAAUGGUAAUUUACCCUGUAGGACCGGAGUUCAGGACGGACGGUUGGAAUUGGAUGUGAGUCUCAAGGCCUCUAUUACCUUUCUCUAUCAUCCAAGACAUGAUCUGCCACAGUUCCCCUCAUAUUAUCCAUGCUCAGCUAGGACGCCUAAGUCUUACCAAACUUCAAAAGUUAGUGUCAAGUUUGUCUAAGUUGUCUACUUUACAUUGUGAGUCGUGUCAGUUAGGGAAACACACUCGUCGUCAUUUUCUUGAUCGAGUCAAUAAAAGGGUUACGUCCCACUUUGCUUUAGUUCACUCUGACGUUUGGGGUCCUUCUCGUAAUGUGUCUACUAUAGAGUCUAAGUAUUUUUUUACUUUUAUUGAUGAUUACCCUCGUUGUACGUGGUUAUUUUUAAUGAAAAAUAGAUCUGAACUGUUUUCUAUUUUUGAGCAAUUUUAUCAAGAAAUUAAAACUCAAUUUGGUGUUUCUAUUUGUACUUUACGAAGUGAUAAUGCUCGGGAAUAUUUGUCUCAUCAAUUUCAAAAUUUUAUGGCUUCCAAUGGUAUUCUUCACCAAACGUCAUGUCCUCAUACACCCCAACAAAAUGGAGUAGCCGAACGCAAAAACCGGCAUCUCAUUGAAACCACCCACUCCAUGGUAAUGUUCCAUUCCAUUUUUGGGAGGAUGUAGUCUUUAUGGUAAUCUACUUUAUCAAUCAUACACCGACUUCUGUCCUUGAUGACAAUAUCCCUCAAAACCCGGUCCCAAGGGGUUGACAUUGUCCAAAUUAUCCCUUCCAUUUCAGUUGCAUUUGUUCUCAAUGUACCUAGAUGUCCUUUUAAUUUACUUUCAGUUAGUCGAUUAACUUAGUCCCAUGACUAUAUUAUUACUUUUACUAAUGGUAAUUUACCCUGUAGGACCGGAGUUCAGGACGGACGGUUGGAAUUGGAUGUGAGUCUCAAGGCCUCUAUUACCUUUCUCUAUCAUCCAAGACAUGAUCUGCCACAGUUCCCCUCAUAUUAUCCAUGCUCAGCUAGGACGCCUAAGUCUUACCAAACUUCAAAAGUUAGUGUCAAGUUUGUCUAAGUUGUCUACUUUACAUUGUGAGUCGUGUCAGUUAGGGAAACACACUCGUCGUCAUUUUCUUGAUCGAGUCAAUAAAAGGGUUACGUCCCACUUUGCUUUAGUUCACUCUGACGUUUGGGGUCCUUCUCGUAAUGUGUCUACUAUAGAGUCUAAGUAUUUUUUUACUUUUAUUGAUGAUUACCCUCGUUGUACGUGGUUAUUUUUAAUGAAAAAUAGAUCUGAACUGUUUUCUAUUUUUGAGCAAUUUUAUCAAGAAAUUAAAACUCAAUUUGGUGUUUCUAUUUGUACUUUACGAAGUGAUAAUGCUCGGGAAUAUUUGUCUCAUCAAUUUCAAAAUUUUAUGGCUUCCAAUGGUAUUCUUCACCAAACGUCAUGUCCUCAUACACCCCAACAAAAUGGAGUAGCCGAACGCAAAAACCGGCAUCUCAUUGAAACCACCCACUCCAUGGUAAUGUUCCAUUCCAUUUUUGGGAGGAUGUAGUCUUUAUGGUAAUCUACUUUAUCAAUCAUACACCGACUUCUGUCCUUGAUGACAAUAUCCCUCAUACAGUCCUCUUUCCCCAUACCCCCUUCAUCCACUACCUCCUUGUGUCUUAGGGUCCACGUGUUUUGUUCACAAUUUAUUUUCUGUUCUCGACAAACUCUCAACUCGAUCACUCAAGUGUCUCUUUCUUGGAUAUCAUCGGUCCCAAAAGGGCUAUCGUUGUUAUUCUCUUGCACUACACCGAUACGUUACAUUAACUGAUAUUAGCUUUUCGAGUCUGUACUAUAUUUUGAACCGACCCAUGUAGCUACUAAGCCCCAUCAGGACAUUAAUUUUGAACCUCCUCAAGUAGUUAUCCCUAUUUCACUCACUCUUAUUCCUCUCGAACCUGUCGAGUCUACCCCCCAAACUCUCCGACCACUACAAACAUAUCAUCGUCGUCGCCCACCCUCAGUUGUGCCAGUUCCUGUUUCCAUUGUAGACUCUCCUCCGACGCCACCACCGGAUCCGGCCCUACCACCUAAGCAUGACCUUCCCAUUGCUUUUUGUAAGGAUAUUCGCACAAGUAAUCCAUCUCCUUAUUAUAUUAAUUUGUGCUAUCAUCGACUUUCUCCCUUGCAUUACACUUGCUUGUCUUCUGUUUCAAUUCCUAAAUCUCUAGAUGAAGCAUUAUCCCACCCUAAGUGGAGGCAAGCAAUGCAUGAUGAGAUGUGUGCCCUACAAAGUAGUAGUACUUGGGAACUGGUCCUUUUACCUCAUGGGAAGUCUUUAGUAGGUUGUCGUUGACUCUAUAUGGUGAAGGUUGGCCCUGAUUGUUAGAUUGAUCGAUUUAAGACUCGCUUGGUGGCCAAGGGAUAUACUCAAAUUUUUGGGUUGGAUUACAGUGAUACCUUCUCACUUGUUGCCAAAAUGGCAUAUGUCAGACUGUUUUUCUCCAUUGCAACAAUUCGAUAUUGGUUUCUCCAUCAACUUGACAUUAAAAAUGUUUUUUUGCACAGUGACCUUGAAGACGAAGUUUAUAUGGAGCAACCACUAGGAUUUGUUGCUCAGGGGGGGUCUUCCACCAUGGUUUGUCGGCUAUAUAGGUCCCUUUAUGGUCUUAAAUAGUCUCCUAGAGCUUGGUUAGGCAGAUUCAGCACGGUAGUACAAGAGUUUGGUAUGAUUCGUAGUGAAGCCAAUCACUCUGUAUUUUAUCGUCAUUCAGCCCAAGGGUGCAUCUAUCUUAUUGUUUAUGUGGAUGACAUUGUCAUAACUGGUAGGGAUCAACAAGGCAUACUCCAAUUGAAACAACAUAUUUCUAAUCAGUUUUAGACUAAAGACCUCGGUAAACUCCGUUAUUUUUUGGGUAUUAAGGUAGCUCAAUCCAAGGAUAGUCUUGUAAUUUCACAAAGGAAAUAUGCUAUGGAUAUUCUUGAAGAAACAAGUCUAUUAAAUGCCAAGCUAGUUGAUACUCCUAUGGAUCUAAAUGUCAAACUCUUACAUAAUCAGGGGGAGCCUCUAUCAUAUUCAAGAAGAUAUAGGAGAUUGGUUGGAAAAUUAAACUAUCUCACAGUCACCCGUCCUAAUAUUUCCUUCGUUGUCAGUGUGGUAAGCCAGACCUCAAAUUCUCUUGCCAAGAACAUAUGGAUGCUGUAAUCCGGAUCCUUAAAUACAUCAAAAGUGCUCCUAGAAAAGGUCUCAUUUAUGAAGAUAGAGGACAUACUCAAAUAGUUGGUUACUCAUAUGCUAAUUGGGAAAGUUCACCCAUUGAUAGACAAUCCACUCCUGGGUAUUGUGUACUUGUCGGGGGAAAUUUAAUAUCUUGGAAGAGUAAUAGACAAAAUGUUGUUGCAAGAUCCAGCACUGAGGUAGAAUACAGGGUCAUAGGACUAGUAACAUGUGAACUCAUCUGACUGAAACAGUUACUAAAAGAACUUCAAUUUGAAGAGGUCAGCCCAAUGACACUAAUAUGUAAUAAUCAAGUUGCAUUGCACAUUGCCUCAAAUUCUGUUUUUCAUUAUAGGACCAAGCAUAUAGAGAUAGACUACCAUUUUGUUAGAGAAAAUAUCGAAUCGGGCGACAUUAUCACUAGUUUUGUCAAUUCUAAUGAUCAGUUGGCAGAUGUUUUUACAAUGUCAUUGUGAGGUCCUAGAAUUAGUUAUAUAUGUACUAAGUUUGGUAUAUUUGAUGUGCAUGCUCCAGCUUGAGGAGGAGUAUUGAAAAUAAAAUAACAUUAUAUAAAUAAAUAGAAUAUCUUGUAAUUAUUCCAAUUAUUAUGUGUAUUUAUUACUCAUAGUCUAUAUAAAGAACUUUCGUUCUGUAGUUGAAAUACACGAGUUAUUCAACAUGUCUCUCAAUAUUCUCUUCUCAUUCAAUAAUUCCUUACCAUGUAUGUGCCUUAGGAACUUGUUAACAAGACCUUUCACUUUUGAAGGGCACUUUUGAGAAUACAGUAAUUUUUUAUGAAAUUAAGAAGAUUAAUUGCAUUAAAUUAAAUGUCUUAAUAAGAGUUGAGUCAGUUAUUUUUGCUUAUAGACCAGAGUAGUAGGUACUAUAGCGGCACUAUAACGCUAUAACGUAGUGGUAUUUGAACAAAUUGCUAUUGUUCGUCGAUACACUAUUUAGUACAAAAUAUUUCAAAUAGUAGCGCGCUAUAGCACUUUUGUGUAGCGGAAUUGGACCACUCCACUAUUUUCCACAAUCCGCAGUUGACAACAUUGACCAGAUGAACUAAAGCUAACAACAUCAGAUAUGAUAGACUCACCUCAAAAGGAGCAAAACCAGUUUCCUCAUUCAGGUUGAAGGCUGAAUUUCCAGUCAGCAAUCUCAACACAGGCUGAACAGCACAAUAACAAGCCAACAUUCCAAGCAUAUAAUUAUAGUAAUGUGAUUUCAAACAAAACCUUUGAGCUUUAACAUUACAACUGAUAAGCCAUAUUCUAUAUAAGCACAAUCCCAUAAGAACCAAAUUUGAAGUAGAGGUAACAAGAGUGUUGAUUGCACAAGGUGUAUAUGACCCAAAAGUACUAUCUACAAUUUUAUCCCAAAUACUGUUUGGUUCUGGUUUGCAGUACCAAAUCAAUGGUUCAAAACCCAUCUUUUUUUUCUAUUGUCAGGGAGAUGGAGAAUUUGUUAGCAGCAGAUAUUAAACUCUCUUAAUACUUUCAACUCAUAUCACAGUUAUCAAUAUCUUUGGAUCAAUUAGUUGAAACAAUGAUGAAGCUAGAAAAGUCAACGCAAGAAGCCUAUGUUUUUUUUGCAUAUUUUUCUAACAUGCAACUACUUGCAUGUUGCAGCAACCUUUACUUUUCAACGCCAUGUUUCAACAUAAUAGUCUAAACAAAUCAGUAAAACAAUAGUCUUCUUUUUAAAUCAUUUUUUUUAAGACUUCUCAUCAUCAGUCCUUACAAAAAUUAUUCACAAAUAGUCCCGAUUUUGUUUUUUAUAUGGACUAUUUUGAGGAACUAAAAACAUUCAUUUUUUGUAAUAAAAAAAAUUAUUUAGGAACUAAAUUUGAAAGGUCUUAAUUUUAUGAGGACUAAAAAUGUAUUUAACUCAAAGAGAAAAUUAAAUAAUUAAGUCUAAAUAAAUCACUACACAAUAGGAAACAUGGUUUUAACUUUUAAGAUAUAUUUUAUUUACAUUUUUUUUAAUGUUUCUAUUGUAUAUUUGAUAAUUUUGCUAGUUUGGCUGUAGAAUUAAUAGACUUUCCCUUUAAAACCGAGCAUGGAGUUCUUCAUCAAAAUGAAACCUUCCAAGCUGUAGAAAAAAUAAAAACAUAGUUAUUGACUUAUUGUAUUUAGUCAAUUUAUUUAUAUAGAAAACUAAGAAGCGCCCUACAAACUUAUAAAUUACCCCUAGGCAUUUCUUGCAUGUAAAUGGAAAUGUUCCGCAAAAAUUGAAUGGUAAACCACUAUUUUGGUUCUUGUAAUUGUAGGGCGCUUUUACUUUGCUAUCUGGCUCACUAAAAACUUAAAUUAGUCCUCCAAUCAUCGUAACGUCAAUCAGUUUAGUCUUUUAAAUUAUAAUGGUAAGAGUCUAUUUGGACAUUGAAUUGUAUCUUUGAAGUACUAUUUUGAUGAUUUAAAAACUAAUUUACAUUUUUAAUUAAGCCUGGGACUAAAAUAACAACACUAUUCACCUUCAAUGACUAAAAGGGUGGUGUACCCAAAAUUGAACUAGUAGUAUUUUGCUGAUAAUAUAAUUAAUGAAUAAUGACUGCAAUAUUAGAUACAAAUGGAAAUGAAUUGAGGAUAGGAAAAAGAAAUCAAAGCAACUUGAAAUUGACAUUUUAGACUAGUGACUGACCACCAGUAUAAGUAGACAGUAGUAGCGCUACAUACGCUGCCCAAUGUUCUUUAAACUGCACGACGGCGUUUUGGUGGCUUUGAAGAGCUCUACCGUGGCCUCAUUCAGGAUCUUUCCGGUAAAUAUGUUAUUGGGAUUUUAUAUUUGCGUUAAGGGUAGUUUAGUCUGUAAAGGACUUAAUAUUUAUAUCUUAGUAUUGAGUUGUAUUAUGUAAUUUUUUUAAUAGAAUUCUAGUCUUUUUUUUAUUCCUCCUUUUUUUUAAUACGGUAUCUAGAACUUCACACCAUUAAUUAGUCGAGUUACAAAAAUUUGGACAUAUGUUAAAAAAAAAUAAAAACUUAUCUUAGGGAUCACAUUUAUACUUAUACCUUAUGUAAAUUAUCUAUUUUCUUAUUUUUAUUUCUUAUCUAUUCAAUAAACUUCAAGAUGAAAAUAUAGGGACAGAUUGGCCCUAUUUAGACUAAUCAUAUAUCUAAAGGGAAAGAUUGGCCCUAUUUAGACUAAUCAUAUAUCUAAAUUUACAGUUGAAAUUGUAACACCCUAAAUUUUAUAAUAAACUAUUUUAUUAAUUAAAUAGGAUUUUAAAUAAUUAAUUUGAUGUUAAAAUUAUUAUAAAAUAUAUGUGAAUAAACUUUGUGAUUAAUUUUUCGUUAUAUAGGUGAUUUAUAUGAUGUGCUAGUUUUAUAAGUAUUAGAUUACAUGAGCGAUAUAAAUAAUAAAUAUUAUAUUUUACUCUUUGAUCUAUUUUUAAAAAAAUAAUAGUAUUUUAGUGUAUUAUAUAAAUUUAUUAAAAAAAAAAAUUUAUACGAUUUUACGUGUAUAUACGUGUACCCAAUUAAUGUAAUAUUUUUAUGUGCGUUUGACUGAUAUUAAGUAUGUACGUAGUUAUAUUUUAAUUAUUUAUAACUAUUUUCUAUUUUAGUUAUUUUUUUUAUAAAUAAUUAUCUUGAGAUAGCAGUGAUAUUGUGUUUGAUUUCCUUUAUUUUUAUAUAUUUAUUAUGACAUUGUGAUUUUAUAUAUAUUUAUUAAGAUUUAGUAAUUAAUAUAAAGUGUUGAUGUUAUACUUAUUUAUUUUAUAAUUUUGAUUAUUCUCUAAUGAUGGUAAUAUUUUAAUUUGAGUAUUUGGAAAAAUAAGUGUUAUUAUAGGGAUUAUUUUGAAUAUGAGAGUUUUGGUUAUUAAUGUAUUUUAAAAGAUUAAUUAUUUUUAUUUAUAAAUUAUUAGUUUUGAAAUAUUAAUAAUGAUUUAUUAAUGAAAUUGUGUUUUAAAAAAAAAUAAAAAUAAAACUAGUAAAACCUAAAAGAAGACCAAUGGGUUUGACCCAUUUGUAAACCUUAAUUGUUAAUAAAAUAAAACAAACAAAAAAAGGAAGGGAGUUGGACGGCGGCCGUAAAACCAAAGAGAAACCCAACAACAAUCUAUAGUUUGACACCGAUGAUCGAUAAUUGUUCCAGAAAAGUUUGUCUGUUCUUGUCCAAAUUUCAGUAUGUUGUUUUAUUCAUUUAGGUAGUUAAAUAAACAUACUUCCUCAGAUUUUUUAACCAUCCAAAUUUCUCUCUAAAAUACCCGAUAUCUCCGUUUAUAAAAAUUCCUUAGUUUGAACCGUUCUCCUUCACCGUAAGUCCGAUUUGAGUGAAACCAACGCCAAAACGACCGUGUGAAAAAUUUCUAUUUUAUCCAAUGAUUUGUUUUCUGAUUUAUGGUAAGUUUCCUUGACCGAAUUUCGAAUUUAGUUUUUAUAGUAUCUUCUCAUAAACUAUUUUUAACGUUUACCCAUAAACUGUCGAGUUACAUUGAUUGAUGGACAAAGAGUCAAUGAACAAAGGCUGUUUGCUCGUGGAAUCGUAUUCGUGUGUGAAAGCGUCGAAAUAAGGUAAGGGGUGAGAGAGCGUCUGAAUUCAUGAGUAUAAUAUAUUGUGAGAUGAACGGAAAAACCGUAUUUUCCAAUGAUUCAUCCGGGGAAAACCGUAUUCAUGAGUAUAAUAUAUUGUGAGAUUAAAAUGUGAAAUAGAAAUAUUUAUAAGGUGUUGAUUGAUUUAAUUUCAUUAAAUGUGUGAUAUUUUAUAUUAUUGUGAUAUUUAAUUUUAUUGUGAUAUUUGAAUUAAUUUCGCUAAAUGUUGGGUAUUUGAUAUUAUUGUGAUAUUUGAUUUAAUUUCGUUAAAUGUGUGACAUUUGAUAUAUUGUGAUAUUUGAUUUAAUUUCUUUAAAUAUGUGGUGUGUGAUAUUAUUGUGAUAUUGGUUGUUGAAUUAAUUUUAUGCAUAUGUUUGAUUAGAUGAGUUUAAAUGAUGUUAUAAUAAAAAUAGAUGUGUUGUGAUAAUUAUAUGUAAUGAUGAUAAUGUAUGAUUAAUAAUGGUGAUGUGAUAAAUUUGUGAUGAAUAUAUGUGUUGAUGUAUGAUUGAUGAUAGUGAUUCUAUAAAUUUGUGAUGAGUUUAUGUGAUGAUGAUGAUGAUGUGUGAUUAAUUAUAGUGAUGUUAUAAAUUGUGAUGAGAAUAUUGUGAUUUCAAUUUGUAUUUGAGAUGACGGUAUUAAUGGAGUAUCAUAUACCAACGAGGGGAGAAAAUAUUGUGAAUUUGUGAAGUGGAGAUUAUUUUGUCAUCAUAUAGAUAGGGUCUGACAAGCCUAGUGAUUCUGGGGAAGUACAACUGAAUGAGCCUGAUCGUGGCGGUCUGUUGUCGAGCCUUAAGGCAAGAUUGUUAGACCUUGGAGGUAUUCGGGUGGGGAAUUCCUAGGCGACUUGGAGGUAGCACUCCAAAUGUCGGGAGCUACCACGCAACACAUGUUUACCUCGACUGUCACGUAUAUAUGUCUCGAGUUGAGUUGAGGGGAUCUAUGAGGACAGAGCCAAUUUGAAUUGUCCGUCCACCGGGAUGGUGGCAUAGUAUCAAACUUCCUAACCAAGUACUUCAGAGUUAGAAUGAUACCACAUUGUGAAGUAGAGUCUAAGCUCAUGCAUAACAUUGCAUUUCCUUGUGAUUGUUUCGUUGUGAUUGAUGUGUUUCAAAAGUAAUGAUAAUUACUCUUAGAUGAUUUGAUGCAUAUUAUAAUGAGAUAAUUAUUUUACUUGAGUGAAUUUGAUGUUAGAAUAUGAUACUAUUUACUUAAAUAUUUUGAUAUAUCGUAAUAUGAUUAUGAUACGGUCUAUUAUGAUUGUUGUGUGUUCUUCUUACUUAUAUUAUACUAUUAACAUGAUUUCGAAACUCACCUCCUUCGUUGUUUGUGUUUGACUGGCUUGGCCCUGCGUUUGCGAAAUCGCAGUUGUUACAGGUUAAUGAAUCUUGAAGUUCAAGUUUGGGAGGAACUACGCUCUGAUAGGUGAUACCGGGGAUAAGGGCUUAAAUUGUAUUUUACUUAUUUAAUUUGAAACGAAUUUUUGUAUGAAAAUCUUAGAAGUACUAGUAAGUUUUUAAAUUAAAUCAAGUAAUAAUACUUAAAUCAAACUUAUUGAGAUUACAUUAUUUUAACGGAGAAAAUAAAUUUAAAGUGUUCCUUUUGAUUUUUGAAAAACGUGAUAUUCUAAGUUAAAAAUUACAUUUUUAUUUUCUUGUAAACAUAUUUUUAUUUAUCUACUACAAAUUUUAUAGAAAUAUAAUAUAAAUUAAUAUAUAUAUAUAUUAUUUUGGGGUUUAGAGUAUCACAGAAAUAGUAGUAGUAAUUAUUGGAAUCAAUGUAAACAUGAUCUAGUAAAAAUAAGAUAGUCAAAUAAAGUGUCUUAAAGUCAAUAAUAGUGAUGCAAUGGAGAAAUCAGCAUGCUAGGGUGGUAGAUUCACCCUAAGGGUUCUUCCCUCUUCUCCUUGGCCGAAAAAUCUUGUGCCUUUAAAGGACUCUUACAAAUGAAAGAGCCAAAGUUUGUCUUAGAAUGUCUUCUUUGUUGUCCAUCUGUGUGAGAAGCAUUUUUCAAACUCCCUUGUUUUGAGUUCUCUUUCUCAAGUCUCCCUGAACUCAGGAGGUUUAAUUUUGGAAGUUAUUGCCUCUGCUUGGACAGAACUCGCCCUUGAGUUUAUAUAUAGUUCAUCAUCCAAAUUUGGUGAAAGAUUGGAAACAUUAAUUAAAUAUUUGACUCUUUUCUUUCUUAUCUAUGAAGGGUACUUAUAUAUUUUCUUUUGUAGAGUGUGGUUGUAUAGGGAUAUUUUUCGAAGCUAUUGUUUCCAACAAUAAAGGCACUCAACUUCUUUUCAUGGUGUUUUAUGGAGGCGUUUGUUUUGCGGACUAAAAAACUAUUCUAGAGAAUAAUUUACUUGAGAAUAUAAGGAAAGAUAUUUAGUUUCUGGAUAUUUUUUUAAAAAGAAAUAUUUGGAACAUAACUUUAAUAUAAGAUUUUUGUAAAAAAAUUAUAUAACCCAUUUUUUCACUUGGGAAGAAAUCCAUGAGAAUUAUGGAAGUUAUUUCUAUCAUGAGAAUAACUUUUUCUCAAACUUGUAACAAACAUGAUAUACUUAUUUUUUAAACAUAACACCUUAAGUUGGUAACAAUGUUUGGUCGUUGGUUUAUGGUGUUUUCAAUACAAGUGUGAUUGAUCCCAAACUUGUGGAGACUUUGAUCAUUCCCAUCCCUAAGGUUGAUUGUCCCUCUUCUUUGAAUGAUUUUUGCUCCAUCGGCCUUUGAACCGUGCUUCUUUAAAUCAUUUUUAAAGUUUUGGUUCAUAGAAUUUGUCCUUUCUUAUAUUCAUUUAUUUUUUUCUGUCUCCAAAGCAGUUUAUCCCAGAGACGGGCAUCUCUAACAAUGUUAUUAUUGCCUAAGAGAUCUUUCAUCAUAUGCACUAGAGGGUGUUUAUUAUUUAAGAUUGAUUUUGAGAAAAUUUAUGAUCGUGUUGAUUGGUCGUUUCUUAAGCUCACUCUUGAAGAAUUUAAUUUAUCCACCAUUAUUAUUACGUUCAUUAUGUGUUGUAUCAAUCCGUCCUCUCUUGCUUUAAGUGGAAUGAUAAGAAACUUGGUAACUUCGCUCCUAAAAAGGCUAUGAUACAAAGAGGUCUUUUAUCUCCUUAUCUUUUCCUCUUUUGUAUGGAAAAGUUGUUCAUUAUAAUACAAGAGAACAUUUCCUCUGGUCAUUGGUUACCAGUGAAGAUCUCUAGGGACGAUCCUUCCAUUUCUCUCAAGUUAGGUUGGUCUAGAAUGUCAUCAAUGACUUUUCUAUGGAUUCAGGAGUGAAGGUUAACCUUCAGAAAUCUAGCUUCCUCCCUUCAGUGAAUGUUCCUAGAUGUAAGGUUCACAACUUAAUUUGAAGCUAUUGUGGAAUUGCAUCAUACUUACAAACUUGGAUUUCCUAUGUUUUAAGAAGAGUUAGAACUUGUGAUUUUAACUAUAUUUUGGAUAAAAUUAAUGGUCGUCUUAUUGGUUGGAAGAGUAACUUGCUUAGUAGGGUUUGUCGGGUGACCCUUGUGAUAAUUAUUAGAAAUAAGACUUAUCUACUAAAUUUGAAUACUAAUUUGUCUGUCUUUUGAGCAAAGGUUACUAGAAUUUUAGUUUUAAAUUUAUGAUUUAUGUCUUUUAGUUAUGUUGUCAUUUACUAUGUCUUUUAUGAAAAUUAAUAUUUAGUGUGUGAUUUUGUAGAUAAAAGAUUGGAAGAUGUGUCCCAUAAUCAAAAUAUUGUUGGAAAUUGCUACAUUAAGAUGCACAACAGAUUGAUAAGUAGUAAAACAAGCAAAUUGUGUGGGUUUCAGUUACACCCAAUAUUCCUUCAAAGGUUUUAGGAUACCCCCAGUAUGAGAAGGUGCUAAAAGAAAGAGCAAUUGGACCACUUUUGCUUUAUUGGGCCAAAACUAUACUUUUUGAGCUAAAAGACAAAAGUGGAGGUACAAGGAAAAGAGAUAGAGAGCCAACUAUCCUAUAAAAUGGAGACAAGCACUGAAUUCAAGGCAAAAGGAAUCAGACCUAAAUAUCGAAACCUUAGUCGUCAUUUUCAUUUGCGAUCAUCAUCCACCAUUAAAGCUUUUUGUAUGAAGUAUUGUUGCUCAAAGAAGGAAACUUGCAAACACAUUGAAGGAGGAGUUGCCAUAGCUGCUUCAUAAAACUUGUGUUUUCUGUUAACAAUGAAAAGAGGAAGAAAGAGGAAGAGGAGAAACAACCACUCUAGAGUUUCAUAAUAUAGAAUGAACCAAACUUGAGUUAAUAGGGUUACAAUGAGUAUAUAUAUAAAAGAAUAGAAAUGUCUAAAAUACCCUUACUACUAAUAUAUAAUAACAUUAUCUAACAUCUCUCCUCAAACUCACGAUGCAUUAACAUGGAGCAUCGAGAGUUUGUCAACUAAAAAACGAAAAUGUUUAAUGGAAUGCAUCUUUGUGAACAAAUCAGCAAUCUAUAAAGAAGAAGAGUGUGAAUAGUGGUCAUCUUGGCUACAAGAGCAAAAGUUUCUUCAUAAUCCAUACCAUAGUGUUGAGAGAAACCCUUAGCAACAAGACGUGUUUUGUAACGCCCAACUGACCCAUCAGACUUGGUUUUGAUCUUGUAUAACCAACGAGACCUAAUAACACGUUUUCUAUGAGGAAGAGGUACUAAUUCCCAAGUAUUGGUUUUGUGCAAUACAAAUAGUUCUUCUGCCAUAGCCUGCUGCCAAAGAGGAUCAAGAACAACCUCUUUAUAGGAAGAGGGCUCAGACAAAUUUGACGAGAGGGGUAACGAGGACGAUCAACAAUCGUAGAAGGUGGUUGGACAACUGGGGGGACAAGAGGGAUGUCACCAAAGAAGAAACAACAAUCAAAUAGAAGAACCAACAAAGAGAGAAGCAACGAAAGAAGAAGGAGAAGCCAAAAAGAGGAUCAUUAGCUAUACCAAACAAUCACAACAAAGAGAGAAACCAAACAUGUAUCAUUCAGACAUUUUAUUUUAUUUUAAUAUUUUACCUUAGGAAUUGAGAUAAUUAUUCUUAAAAAAAUUGUUGGUUACUAUUGUAAUGUGUUAUUUUAAUUUUUAAUAAUAAUAAUAAUAAUAAUAAUAAUAAUAAUAAUAAUAAUAAUAAUAAUAAUAAUAAUAAUNNNNNNNNNNNNNNNNNNNNNNNNNNNNNNNNNNNNNNNNNNNNNNNNNNNNNNNNNNNNNNNNNNNNNNNNNNNNNNNNNNNNNNNNNNNNNNNNNNNNNNNNNNNNNNNNNNNNNNNNNNNNNNNNNNNNNNNNNNNNNNNNNNNNNNNNNNNNNNNNNNNNNNNNNNNNNNNNNNNNNNNNNNNNNNNNNNNNNNNNNNNNNNNNNNNNNNNNNNNNNNNNNNNNNNNNNNNNNNNNNNNNNNNNNNNNNNNNNNNNNNNNNNNNNNNNNNNNNNNNNNNNNNNNNNNNNNNNNNNNNNNNNNNNNNNNNNNNNNNNNNNNNNNNNNNNNNNNNNNNNNNNNNNNNNNNNNNNNNNNNNNNNNNNNNNNNNNNNNNNNNNNNNNNNNNNNNNNNNNNNNNNNNNGUAAUGUGUUAUUUAAUAAUAAUAAUAAUAAUAAUAAUAAUAAUAAUAAUAAUAAUAAUAAUAAUAAUAAUAAUAAUAAUAAUAAUAAUAAUAAUAAUAAUAAUAAUAAUAAUAAUAUUAAUAAAAGGAACCGUUAAAAACAAAUUUAUGUCUUAGGUUGAAAUAUCACUCUCUCUGUUUAAUACCACGUCCGUUUAAUACCACGUUACAGUUUAACCUUCCCCACGUCUGGCUUAAGGUUUCCCUGACUUAACUUUCUCCACUUCUGCCAACCUUCCCCACUUCUGGUUUAAUGUUCCCCACUCCUGCCUUAACUUUAUCCGCUUCUGGCUUAACUUCCCACGGCUUAAAGUUCAUCCUUUUUUGAUAAAAAAGAAACAAAAACAAAACAGACGUCUUCCAUUCAAAAAACACUCUGCGAUAUAAAAAAAGGUCUAGGAGAGAAAAAGAGAGACCACUUUGAUAGAAAAGGCAACCACCAAAAGAGAAAAGAGAGGAGUAACUCGAUUCCCGAAUUUGUUAAAUAAGUAUCAGAAAAUCAUCGAUUGCGCAUUCGUUAACCGUUUGAUCAAGCUGAUUUUCAGACAGCAGGUUCGCAGCAUUCAAACUCACAUUUUCAAUGGUCGGAUCGGCGAAAUGACGUUCAGAGAGGGAGAAACCGUGCUCGCACAGCAGCAGGUGUGAAAUGAGUGAGACAAGAGUUUGUGAAACAUAAUUGUAAAUAUAACUCUAGUAAUGGUAAGGGUUGUUAUUAUUAUGACCUCGAAAUAAUCGGAAUGUAUCAGUUCUUUAAGAAAUUAAAUCAAUUUCAUACACACAGCGGAAUUAAAUUGCGGCAUACAAGAUUAGCAAUUACAAGUAGAUGGAUAAGAGAUUAACCAAGAUGCAUGCGAGUCAAAUUUCCAGUUUAAACAAUAUUACCUAACACAGAAUAUGUUUAACAUGCAUCUAAUAUUAAUCACACAUACAAAUAUUGCAAGAUAGAAAAUUAAAGGAGUUAAGGGUUAGAGAAGAUUGCACCAAGAAUUUAUCCUGGUUCAGUUGUCAACGAGACAACCUACAUCCAGUCCUAACAAUCCAAUCGGAUUUCAUAUUUUCUUCUCCAAUAGAAAGAAUCGAUUACAGAUUGUCCAGUUUCAUCCCCGAAACCUAUCUAUCUCUAAUGAUCUCUUUCCUAUUGAUCACCCUCUGAUCCUUGUAGAUACUCAGCAGUCUAACACAGAAUCAAAGUACGACUCCUUCUUGUUGAGCCCUCUCACCCAAGAAGGUAGCCACCAGUUUCAAGCUGGCUUUCUCGCUUUCGUUUCUUUUCAAAGUCUUAUUACAAACUGAAUAAAACAAGAACAAAAAGAAGUCUUCAAUCUUGAUCAAUGUGACUUCUCACGAAUCUGGAUAUUCAAGGAUUGUUCAUGAGAACAUUGAGAAAAAGAUUGAAAGACAGUUUAUAUAGUUUCUGAAAAACAUCUUAAUAAAUCGAUUUGCCAAUCGAUUCCUUAAAGUUAUAAAAUAGGUCUAAUCGAUUUGCCAAUCGAUUAUCGCGUGUCUUGUUUUUCUUGAAUCUUGAAACUACAUAAGCCAAUCGAUUUACCAAUCGAUUCUUUAAACAAACUCUUUUUAGUGAUUAUGUUAAGACUUAUAUGCAUCGAUUUCGUAAUCGAUUGCAGGUUUUAUGUUCAAAUUAAAAUCACACCAAUCGAUUUCGUAAUCGAUGUAUUCGGUUUCAUAAUCGAUUAACAAAUACUCAGAAUCGAUUUGGCCACAAGCUCAAAGUUCACUGUGAUUUCAAAAAGUUUCUUUCAAUCGAUUUGCCAAUCGAUUGUGUUCAAAACAGUGACUUAGCUAUUUUCAUGUUAAUCGAAGUGCCAAUCGAUUUGUUUGUAUUUUCCUGAAAAGUUCUUACCAGAUGUUUAAUUCAAUCGAUUUCCCAAUCGAUUGCAACCAAACUUAACAUGAUUGAAAUUUUCACAAUAGAUUGUCCAAUCGAUUGUGUUUGUCACAGGUGAAGUUAUUUUGCAAAUAGUACUUAAGCAAUCGAUUUGCCAAUCGAUUACCCUCAAAACUGGAGUGUCACUGUGACUUGUACAAUCGAUUUCCCAAUCGAUUUGUUUCAAUCAGGUUUACUUUGUGAAGUGUACAAUCGAUUUGUCAAUCGAUUAGCCUGUAAAACAGGGUGCCACUGACUUGUGCAGUUUUCAUUUCUAAUUGUGUCAGUCGAUUGCCCAAUCGAUUAUACAAUCACAAACAGUUAUGUUUCCUUACACCCUUGUUAUGAAAUCGAUUUCCCAAUCGAUUUACUCAGUCAAAAUUCAACUUUUGUUGAUUUCUUGUGUUCCAAGCAAUUUGUUUCAAGUGUGUAGGAUUGGAUUGUUGUUCCUGAAAUCUUGCUCAAUUAAAAUGUUAGAUUUAUCAUAUGAUGUAUGAACAUUGUAUGUUUGUUAAUUAUGUCAAAACUAGGAUUAAGAGGACUAAAGUCCAACAAGGGCAUCACUCCAUUCGCUUUCCUAUUUGAAUUAUAUGUGAUAUAAAUGUAUUGUGAUGUUAUUUAUUGGUUUUGUUUGUGUUAUAUUCAAAAUGAAUAUUAAUAAUUGUUGUGUUUCACAUGUUGCAAGUGUGUAAGAAUAAAUGUUAUAUGAUAUGUUGUUAUAAUGGUUAUGUUGAGCAUGUUCAAAGUACGAAGAAUAAAUGUUAUGUGAUAUGUUGUUAUAAUGGUUGUGUUGAACAUAUUCAAAGUGUGGAAAAUAAAUGUUGUGUGAUAUGGUGUUAUAAUGGUUGUGUUGAACAUAUUCAAAGUGUGAAGAAUAAUUGUUAUGUGAUAUGUCGUUAAUAAGUUAGUAUAGCAUUAUAUUUUAUUAAAGUGUCAACAUUCAUGCAUUCAUUCGCAGUCGUGUGGUGGUGCGUCCAUAAUUGGUUGGAGCACACAGAUCCUUGCGGGGAUGUUGAGUUAGUGGUGUUGCUUGGAAGGACCCACGAAGCCGGGAGGCGAUAUUCCGGAAUCAUUACAUUGACAUAUAGAUUAAGUCAUAAGGUCUGUUUGAGUAUGCAUUGAAUUAUGUGUGAUUAACGUUUUAUAGAGAUAAAUGAUACAUUGUAUCCCCUGAUCAUUAGUUGGUUGAAAUAAUGUUAUUAACGAUGUAUAUAUUAUACUGAUAAAUUUGUAUAUUUUGUUAGUUUGGGUGAGGCAAUGUUAAUAAUGAAUGAGAAUGUUAAUAAUGAAUGAUGUGAAUACUAUGGUCAUGAAUGUACCUGCUGCUAGUUUCGGGUGAAUUAAUAUGUGAUAUUGUACUUGUUUUUAUUACUGUACCUCUUAAUUAUUUGGGUGAAUUAAUCUUAUUAAUUAUGUAUAUCGUAAUGUUAUAUUUGUAUUGUCACUGCACUUGUUGUUGGUCGUUUGGGUGAAUUAAUGUUAUUAAUUACGCAAAUACUGUACUGUUACAUUUUCAUUGUUAGUGUAUCUUUGGUGAGUUGUGAUUUUAACUGUUAAAUGAAGUAAAUGAUUUAUUUAUAUUUUUCUAUAACAACUAUAUAUGCAUGCAUAUUUGCUCUGUGUUUGUUAUUUGGAGAUGACCCUUACAUUUGACAGGACGUCACAUAUAGUGUUAUUUGAGCGAAUAAUAUCACGAUCAACCUAAUAGGAGAAAUGCGAGAAAGUAUAAUAGCAUGCAGUUUGAGGCUCCGAGAUACUUCUGUAUUGGUGUUAGACUUGUUUGGUGAGUUUUCCACAAGUCCAAAGUUUGUGACCAACUAGGAUCUAUGUUUGGGUAGUCAAACGUCGAGAGUUUUGACUCUACGAGUUUCUUUGGUUUAACAUAUUAAAUUUACUUUUAGUGAUUGUAAAUAUUUUGAUUCUUUAUUUUGAAAAUAAAACUAAAAAAUAUUAUUAAUUGAUUUUAGGAUAGAUGAGUAUUUAAAAUAAUCAUAAAUAAAUAAAAACGAAUUUGAAAUUUUAAGUUUAGAAUUUCGGUAGUUAAUGUCCGGAAAAAGCAGGAUGUUACAAAACCAAUAAGAAAUCAUAUCAAAUAGUCACAAUCAAGAGAAGAACCAAGCCAACAAAAAAUCAAACCGAAAAAGGAGCGAUCAAAAAAAGGAGCAACAACCAUAUCAAAACAAACCCUUAAUAUAUAAUAUAAAAGCCCAAUAACAUACUACGUAACAUCUGAACAAUCAAUAUGGAGAGAAGCAACAAAGCAGAUCACUAGAGAGAGGAGCAAUCAAACAGAAGAAGCAACAGAGAGAGCAACAAUACAGAAGAAAGCAACCAAAGAGAUAGGAGAUACGAACAAUUAAAUUACCAACCAAAUCAGCAAAAAACCACAACAAUUGAAAGCAUGUGAACCAAACCAAAAUCAACUCUUUAAUACUGAUCAUAACAAACAAACAACAGAAAGAGACAUGUUAUGUGUGGAGACAGAACCAACGCCUGCUAGUGGCAUAAGAGUGCCAUCAGCAGUCAUAACCGACACAAACGAGACAAGUUUUACAGACACAAGAUUUAUCAUCGUAUGUCAUAUGAUGAGAUGCUCCCGAAUCAAGAUUCCAUAUGGAAGGAGAUAUAUUUGACAUACCAGAGAAGUUCAAACCUUUAGAAGAGGUGGCAGACAUGGCAUGUGUUUGAGUGGCAAGAAGUUUUUGAAGUUGUUCUGCAAUAUCAAAUAUUUGUGAAGCAAUCUCAGAUGAGUAUACAGAACCAGAACUAGAGUCAAUGGUAGAAGGAGCAGAAGCAACAAUAUUGGACGAUGGCCUCCUAAAAUUCUUCUCUCCACAAUUUCGGACAAUGUGUUUUUCAAUGUGCUUGAAGAGAAUCAUCCUUAGCACCAGCCAUAACAAAUAAUGACAAGAAAAUACGACAAACACAAUCACUGAGACAAAAUAAAUUAGGGAUAAUCUGGGGCUGUGCGAGCCCGAUUUCUCCCCCUACAGACGUCGUUUGACCGAUCCGACCGUUGAAGAUGAAGACCUAAAUGUUGCGAACCUGCUGUCAAAAAAUCAGCUCGAUCCAACGAUUAACGAAUGCGCAAUCGAUGUUUUUGUGAGACUGAUUUAACAAAAUCGGGAAUAGGGUUACUCUUCUCUUUUCUCUUUUGGUGGUUGCCUUUCCUAUCAAAAUAACCUCUCUCUUCUUUAGCAUAGAUCCCAAAAUCAACCAAAGCUCUUUGAUACCAUGUUAACAAUGAAAAGAGGAAGAAAGAGGAAGAAGAGAAACAACCACUCUAGGGUUUCAUAACAUAGAAUGAACCAAACUUGAGUUAAUAGGGUUACAAUGAGUAUAUAUAUAAAAGAAUAGAAAUGUCUAAAAUACCCUUACUACUAAUAUAUAAUAACAUUAUCUAACACUUUCAACCUAGAUUCUUCAUUUCUAUAAUUAUUAAGCUACAUGAUCCAAGUGUUUUAUAAAGUUACAUGUUUGCACACUAUAUGAUCUAAGUGUGAAAUUUUUCAAAAACACUUGUGGAGGUCUUAGACAAAUUGAAUAUGCGAACAUCAUUGACAGCCUUAAGCAUGCCACUAACUGUACUAGACCCGACAUUGUCUACGUCGUGGAACUAUUGUGCAGGUUUACUAAUAGAUCUAGUAUGGAGAAUGUUGAAGAAAAAACUUUUUUGAUAUAUGUUUAAUUGACAACAAACCUUAUGAAAAAAAUGAUUAAGUUUUAUGAAUGGUGAUCUACUAAAGAUUGCAUUUGAGUUUUAUUUAAGGAACAUGAAUUGCAUUAGUGAAAAGGCAAGAAGUCAUUCACUUCAUCAAAGUGCAUAAAAAUUGUGGCAAGAUCAUAUUAAAGAGGAAGCAAAAAUAUACAAAUAGAAUGAAUAACGUUCUUGACAGAAGUUUGAAAAACGAAGAACGUUCUCCACUAUUCUAAAACAACAAGAAUGAUGAUAUCAUUUUUUAAGGAAAAUAAAGCUCUUGGGAUUUAAGCAAGAAUCAAGAACGACCUUAAGUGGAUACUUCAGCAUAUCUCUAAGAUUUAUGCACACAUGAUAAAGGGAUCAUGAAUCACUGUCAAAGAUGGCUGACAAAGAAGCUUACAGUUCAACAUUUCUCAAAGCAGAAAACGAAGAAUAUUCAUACAAGAACAUUCUUGCUUUAAGUCAAAUUGAUGGCUAAGAUAAGCCAAGAUAGGAAUGAUAAAGUCACUGCAUCACUGACACACGUGCAGAACAAAAAAGCUCGGCACACAAUAACUAUCAGAAGUUCAAAAUCCAGCAAAUCACUCAAAAUAAAAAACGAAGAACGUUCUUGUUUUCACAACUUUAAUCCAAGAACGUUCUGGUUUACAAAGAACAAAAUCUGUUGUAAUUUAAGAUCGAUCUAGGCUACGAAGUACAUCUAUCUACAUUACAAAUUAUCAUUACAGAAGAAUUUAAUAAUCUACACAAGAUCGUUUUGGAUAUGUUCGAUCAAAGAGGAUCAACAAAGACAAAGCAAAACAUCAAGAUCAAUCUCCAAAUUGAUGAGCUAUGAGCAAGGACAACCAUGACAACAAGGACACUGUUGUUGCACCUUUUUGCAGAAAACACAUCAUGUUUCUGAGACAAAAGACUGACACACAACAGCUGUCAAAAUCCAGCACUCAUAAAAAACAGAAACGAAGAAUGUUCUUGUUUUACAAAAGAACAUUCUGGUUAUUCUCUUUUAAAGGCACAAUUAAAACAGAUAAUUUUCAGCAAUCUAAACCACAUAUCAUUGUUGUUGUUGUUGUUGUUGCUGUUGCUGCUGCUGCUGCUGCUGCUGCUGCUGCUGCUGCUGCUGCUGCUGCUGCUAUUGUUGUUGUUGCUGCUGCUGCUGCUGCUGCUGCUGCUGCUGCUGCUGCUGCUGCUGCUGCUGCUGCUGCUGCUGCUGCUGCUGCUGCUGCUAUUGUUGUUGUUGCUGCUGCUGCUGCUGCUGCUGCUAUUGUUGUUGUUGCUGCUGCUGCUGCUGCUGCUGCUAUUGUUGUUGUUGCUGCUGCUGCUGCUGCUGCUGCUAUUGUUGUUGUUGCUGCUGCUGCUGCUGCUGCUGCUAUUGUUGUUGUUGCUGCUGCUGCUGCUGCUGCUGCUAUUGUUGUUGUUGCUGCUGCUGCUGCUGCUGCUGCUGCUAUUGUUGUUGUUGCUGCUGCUGCUGCUGCUGCUGCUAUUGUUGUUGUUGCUGCUGCUGCUGCUGCUGCUGCUAUUGUUGUUGUUGCUGCUGCUGCUGCUGCUGCUGCUAUUGUUGUUGUUGCUGCUGCUGCUGCUGCUGCUGCUAUUGUUGUUGUUGCUGCUGCUGCUGCUGCUGCUGCUAUUGUUGUUGUUGCUGCUGCUGCUGCUGCUGCUGCUUUUUUCCCUACUCAACGAUGAAUGUUCCAUGUCAUUAGAACAACCUUGCGAAAUCAUAUUCAACAAACCCUUUUCUACCUAUCUUGUCUCUCAAAGUGUGAAUGUCUGCAACUUGAUUUGGUUAAACUCACUGUUGUCUUUAUUUUGCUGUUGAAAAAGAAUUUGGAGUUUGUUGUUUGUUGUUUUACUCUUUGGAUUUUGCUGUCAAAAUAUUAGGUUUGGUACCAAUUGCACUCUAAUAUGCCCAUUUGAUUCAAUUUCAUUUCUUUUGCUUAAGGUACUGUGAUGGAAAGUAUGCUUAUCCUUUUUUCCCUACUCAACGAUGAAUGUUCCAUGUCAUUAGAACAACCUUGCGAAAUCAUAUUCAACAAACCCUUUUCUACCUAUCUUGUCUCUCAAAGUGUGAAUGUCUGCAACCUGAUUUGGUUAAACUCAUUGUUGUCUUUAUUUUGCAGUUGAAAAAGAAUUUGGAGUUUGUUGUUUGUUGUUUUUCUCUUUGGAUUUUGCUGUCAAAAUAUUAGGUUUGGUACCAAUUGCACUCUAAUAUGCCCAUUUGAUUCAAUUUCAUUUCUUUUGCUUAAGGUACUGUGAUGGAUUGAUUAAAUUAAAGCAGUAUCUUGAUCAAUUUACACAUAAAACAAUUUUAAGUUUAAUCUUCGCACAAAUUUCGUAUAAAAAAUUGGUAAUUAUCUAUCUCUUGUUGGUAACAGUUAUCAACUUAUCAUCAAAGCUAACUAAUGACAAUUUUCAUUUAAAAAUUAUGUAUGUUAUUUGAAAUGACUAAUGGUUAAUGCGAUUUCAGAUCACAAAUUCUAGCUGUUGCUGCUAGCUACUUAAUAGCAUUGUUGGGAUUAUUACCAGUCAAGACUUUGAGGUUUAUUGUCGGAAAAUCCCUUGGGAAGUCAUGGUCUGCCAAUGCAGUUGAGGCUGCAUGCUCUCACUUGUCACAAGUUAGCUUUACUGUUGAAAGAAGGGCUUCGAUGUUAGGUCACAAUAAGCAUGUAAAUUAGUGGUUUUUCCAUUUCUGAUUCUUGAUCCCUUUUCUUAUAUAGUUAUAUUGGAAUACUAAUAAAAUGUAUAUGUUUUAUGAUACUGAUUCAUAUAUUUGUAUAUUUGAAUACUAAUGUAUAUUUGUUUUGAUGAGUUUUAGGUCCCAUAAAAAAAAAAUCAUUUAAUUAACAAUACUCAAAAGAUAGACUGCAGUUAUACUUUUGUAAUGUUCAUGCAUUUAGGAGGUUAACCACCACAUUUGUUAGUCCUUUAAGAUUGUAAGGUCUGUUGGCAGUUGACACAUAAAUGCUUUGACAACUGUUCUUAUUCAUAAUUUAUCCUGUGGCAUAUUAAAGUGAAUAAAUUAUUUGUUUCAUGUAUUUGCAGAAACUGACCGGGGGAACUAUUGCUGAGACUAGGGCAGCAACCACCAACUGGGGACACCAGCCAAGUAAACAAGAAGCUGAGAAAAUGAUGAGAGAAUCCACCUUGGAUAGACUUUCUUCUUUAAUCAGAAAUCAUGAGAAGAAACUAGCUCUGGUAAGUUACAACUUACAAGAGACCAACUGAAAUAACUUCUCAAAGACUAUCUGUUGUUACCAUAUCUAACUUUAUAUGGUCAUAGGCAAAAGCAAGGUUCAAGAAGGCUGAGAAGGAUUUGGCGAAAAUAUAGGGUGAUUUGGAACCAGCAGACCUUCCAUCUUAUUUGGAGACAUUAACUAAUGAAGAGAGAUUUUUGUUUAGGAAGAUUGGUCUGAGUAUGAAGCCAUAUUUACUUCUAGGUAAGAACAACNNNNNNNNNNNNNNNNNNNNNNNNNNNNNNNNNNNNNNNNNNNNNNNNNNNNNNNNNNNNNNNNNAGGGAGGCGAGAUGUUUAUGCUGGCACCAUAGAAAACAUGCAUCUACACUGGAAAUAUCGAGAGGUCGUAAAGAUAAUUGUGAAAGGGAAAAUAUCUACACAUGCAUCUACUUCCAUCUGCAGGUUACAAGACCCAAAAGCUUGUUGACACGAAGACAAGCAUUGGCUCGGUCUAUUGAGCUUCAAAGACGAGAGGUAAUAAAGCAAUAAUUUCUAAUUAAAUGAGACUUUUACUUGGUCUUUUAUCGCAUGAAAUUUCUAAUUUUUAUUUUCAGGCACUGAAAUAUCAUAUCUCAUAUUUAUAGGAGAUGAUUGAGUUGCUCAAAUCUGAGCUAGUAUGAUGUUUUAUCACUUCUUUAAUAUGACAUAGAAUUGUGAUUGAAUGUGGUUGAUAAGGCCUCAUUUGAGGUUGCAGAGACAUCAAAACCUGGAGUUAGAGUUCUAUUAGGCUAAUAAUGGUUUUUAACCAAUACAUGUAAUCAUUGGUUUUUGUUUUGUUGGUAACAGCAUUUUGGACUAUGAUGUGCUUAACUUGGAAGUGCCAACACUUCCUAUUGUUGGAUCAUUGAUAAAAUCUGGAGUUAGAGCUCUAAUUUACAGGUAUCUAGAGUUCUCAUUCUCAUUUUCAUUCUAAACAUAAAUCACUUUACAUUCAAUUUAUUUUCAACUAAAACCAAUUCAAUCAAAAUCAUUUUUUAUCACCGCAAAACAAAAAAUAUGCUUAGUCUCACAUUUCCUUUGUGUUCAGGUCAACCGCGUCGACACUUACUAACAACUGGAUGGAGUACUUUGUGACUUCCAAAAGAUUAGUUGCUGGAGAUACUUUUGUGUUUCUGAGGUAUUCAUUUGAUGUUUUCUUUUUCUUGGUUUCCUUGAUAUGGUUCAAAAAAUCAUCAUAUACUGUAAAAUCAUACAAUGUUUCUGUUUGACUAUGCAAACAUUAAAACUAAACAAGAUUUUGUGUUUAGAGGAAACAAUGGAGAAUUACGCGUUGUAGUGAGGCAUCUCGCUUUGCCUCAGAGCUGCAUGCCUUUAUCUGUGAUUUCUGGUCAGAGCAUGCACCUUGGAGUCCUUGCAACUGUAUCUCAUGUUGUUGCAACCCCAGAUUUUGUUGUCGACUACUUUGUUGAUAUUAGCGUCGGCCAUCCUAUGCACCUAUUUUCUCAACUGACGUGUCAACUGACAUAUUUAGCGUCGGAUGUCUUGAUUUUGCUGAUAGCGUCGGUGUAGCGCAGGCCUAGCCGACGCUAAUAUAGCGUCGGAUGGUGUUUAGCCGACGCUAUUCAUUAGCUUCGACUGUUUUAGUCUAGGCCCGUUACCGACGCUAAAUCGCCAUUAGCGUCGGUUUUGGGCCGACGCUAAAUUUUGAUUUUCUAGUAGUGUAUUAAAUAGUAUGAAGACAGCUCAAAUCAAUGGUGAAGGCUAGAACUCGAGCUGAGUACCAAAAGGAGAAAAAUAGCCUUAAGAUUGAUUUUCAAAUUGAUGAGUUGUGAGCAGGGACACAAGUACAAAUUUGACAAAUAAAGUACUGCAUCACUGACGCAAGUACAUAGAAGCAUAACAUACAAACAACUGUCAAAAGUUCUAAAGUCCAGCUGUUACCAAAAAUAGAAACGAAGAAUAUUUUGGACAACAAUAUAAACACAUGUUUAAUUGCUUUAAAAUAUAUUUGACACUUGGGAAGUGUGUCCAACGGCUAUAUUCAUUUUAAACUGAAUUCAAAGCCUUUUAUCAUCUAUAAAUUGAAGAUCAAUUGGAAGAUCAAGAAAAGAGUUCAAUUUACAAAUCUACCAACACUUGUUCAAUUAAAAACAAGUCAAAAACUCUUCAAGCAAACUUCAGUUCUCUUUACUAUAUCUUUUGAUCAUUAUUUACUGAGUUUUUCUUUCAUUUAUCUCACACAAGUGUUGAGAAGUUUCAAGAUCCCAAACACUUUUAUCAUACACAUCAUUUGUAACUCAAGUUUAUCUUUUAUGUUAGAUUGAGUAUGUUUGUAAAAAUCCUUUCAAAGCUAAAAUGUGAUUGUAAAAAUCUUUUCUAGGUUGAAAGGUGAUUGUAAAAAUCUUUUCUAGGUUGAAAUGUGAAGAUUGUAAUUGAUCAAGGUGCGAUCAAGAGUAAAGGUGUGAAGAAGAACAUUAUUGGUUCUAAAGCACAUAGUGAAAAUUUCGCGGUUGUGAGGACUGGACGUAACCCACUUUGGGUGAACCAAGAUAUAAUGCUGUGUGAAUUCUUUUUCCCUUAUCACCAUUUAUUUAUCACUCACUUAGCACUAAUCAUAUCGUGAAGUUUUUAUUGCUAUAUUACUAACGAAGAAUGUUAUCCUUUUAUUGUUUAUCAAACUAAUAUCAUUCUUGAGUUAAAUUUAAAUUAAACACAAGAAUCAAAAUUUUAAAAGGAUCACAAUUCAAACCUCAUUUUUCUUGUGAUUGACAUUGCUUCUUCAGAGUAUUGACACGCUAUCGAGAGAGUCAUGAGAUACCUUCAAAGAAGCAUGAGUCUUGAAUUAUAUUAUCAAAGAUUUCAUGUCAUCCUUGAAAGAUAUAAUGAUGUUGAUUGGAACACUUUAUCAUAUUACUCUAAAGCAACCAAUGGCUAUAUAUUUAGCAUAGUUGGUGGAGUUGUAUCUUGGAAAUCGAAGAAAUAAACGAUAUUGGUUCAGUCCACUAUGAAAUCUGAAAUGAUAGCACUAGCGGUUGCUAGUGAAGAUGCGAGUUAGUUGAGAUACUUGCUAAUUGAGAUCCUUUUAUGGGAAAAACCAAUGGCAGCUUUGUUGAUCCACUAAGAUAGUAUCGCAACUACUGCAAAAAUUUAGAAAUGUUAUUACAAUGGUAAGAGACGACAGAUACGUCGUAAGCACAACAUAAUUAGAAGUUACUUUUGAAAUGAGCUGUUAAUGUGGAUCAUGUACGCAUUGAUGAAUAUUUAGCAUAUCAUUUGAUGAAAGGAUUAGCUAGAGAGAAAAUCCUAAACACAUCCAAAAGGAUGAGACUAUUUCCUUUAGAUCAAUGAGUCACUUGUGAUGGUAAUCCGAUCUCAAGAAUCAGGUACAAUGGGUAAUAACAAACACUAAAGUGAUAUGAGAUGAACAUGCUAUUAUAAAUUAGAGAAACAUGAUUCUUGAAGCGAUUAAAGGAUGCGGUAAUAAAAGCUCUUAAUGAGAUAUAUAUUAUAUGUGGAGUAGAACACCUAACUACAAAAGUACUCUUAAUAGACUACUUAUGUGAAUGUAGAAGUGGGGUUGUUUCCUAUGGUAUUUUGGGGUAAAAUUUCUAAAGCGUGCACUAUAUUAGGAUAGACGUACAAUGCCAUUAAUGCAUGUGUUUUUGAGAAUACACCCAAUAAAAAUGAUGUGUGUGAGUUUGAUGUCAGAAAUAAAGUUCAAGACUAUGAGUCCCUCUUAUUGAAUAUGAAUCUUAUUUGUUAUGCAAAGAUUCAAGUCGGAAAACACAUCUAUUAAUGCAAAAUCUUAUAGAAGUUUGACGCUACUUUAGAAACAUUUUUUAAUUCAAGUGAAGGAUUGUCAGAACAUAGAGAGUAUAUUAGAGUGUAUUAAAAAUUGUUAAAGUCCCACAUUGAAAAACUUUCAUACAUUGAAUAGUUUUCAACUCUGUAAAUGCUAAAGUCCCACACUGGAUAGUAUACAUAUAUGAAAUUGUUUUCCCAUCACUAUAUAAAAAGUGUCAAACUCUUGUGAAAAGUACAAAGUUGGAUGCAAUUCCUAACUUUCUCUCUUCUCCCUUUUCUGAUACACUUCUGAGCCACUUCUCUUUAUUUUCGUCCCUUCAAUUUUUUGAGUGGUCUUAAUAUCAUUGUCCUUUUGAUUUUAGAGCGGUUUUUAUUAUGUCGUAGUCCAUUUGAUUUAUAAAUAGUCUUAAAUAUUUUUAGAAUGGUCAUUACAACCAUAUUUAACGUGUAAUUCUAGAACGGUUUUCUUCAAAUAGUAGAAUACGGACUUACGUUCUUGGUUCUUUUUACUUAUUUUUAAAUUGAUAUUAUAACAAAACCAAAUUGAUCAUUUUUAAAUUGACAAAUCACAAAAAAGUAAAAUAUAUGUUUCACAUCUUAAACACAUAUCCAAUUUAUUUUGAAACGCGACCAAAAAGGAUUAAAAUGUCAUUAAACCAAAAUAGAUUUGCAGCACUUAAACAUGGUUUCAAGUGUCUCAUACUUUCUAACAAUUAAGUUCAAGUGUCUCUUAAAUUCUAAAAUGCUCAUAACCAUGUGAAAUCUAAACUGAUUUCGAUUCUGUUUGUUGUUGUGCAACAAGUAAUUCGAGAAUCUGCAAACCAUAUUCUUUCUCAUCGAUAAAAAUAGUUCUCAAUCGGUAAAUUAUCACCACACUGUCUAUUUCUAUUUAUUUUCACGUAAACUUCACUUUAUUAGUUAUUUGUAUUAUAUUUGAACGUUUAUAUGCUGAGUAGCAAGGAGUCAUCCUUUUCUGCAAAUCGAGUUGGUAAUUUGUGAAAUUGUCGAAUAAGGUAUGAAAUGGGUUUUGACUCUUGAUGCAACAAGUAGAUUGAGUAGAUUUGUUAAAUAUGAAUGUCUUUUGAUCCCUAGGUAUGCACCGACAGUUGAAUUGUUUGGAACCAUUGCGGGGACAAUGGUAUAAAUUGCUAUACGUUAGCUGUUUUAGACUAUCUCUUAUGAUGUGUCAUGUUUUAUUUAAAUUUCGUGAUGUGUGUUUCUUUAUUUUUUGAUAACGAUAAGUGUUUAGAAUGUCGAUAAGUGUUUAAUGUGGAUUUUUUUUGUUUUUGUUUUAAGAAACUGUGACGUUUUGAUAAGUAGUAGCUUGUGUUAAAAAGUUGAAAGCCAAACCCAAAUUAGAUUUUUUUUAGCGUUAAUAUAUUUAUUCAAACAACAUCGUUCAAUUUACAAUGAUUUGAUUUAGCAAGAACAUUUCAUUCAUGCAAGAUCUAGUAGUUCACGUCAUAGAUUCAAUAAAUCAAUAUCUAAUAACAUGUCUCUUUCUAAUAACGUUCUAUCAUAUAACAUAUCUCUUUCUAGCUCAUUAAUCUACAUGUCUAUCUUAAUAGUUUCUCUUAUAGUUUUUCAAAGACUUACUCUGCCUCUAUCGAUUUGACUACCCUCCAUUUGAUUUAUUUUCCUUACUAUAAAAUCUACAGGUCAUCUCUCGACAUGCUCAAACCACCUAAAUCAAGUUUCAGCCAUCUUUUCUACUAUAGGUGUUACCUCAACUCUCUCUAAUGUUGUCAUUCCAAAUCUCAUCUCGUUUAAUCUUUCACACACCCAAUGCAAUACAACCUACACUUGUACAAUUUCAUAAUGAUCAAGAUUAUUUUAGUGCAUGAGUAAUAUAAAUUGUACGGUCUCAAAUCAGUGAUUGAGAUUAAUUACUGCGUGAUAUUACUACUACAGGAAAUCUAGGUCUGUAACAUUAAUUGUAUGUAAUGAAAUCCACAAACAAUCAUGUUUGAAGUAGUAGCAUUUCAAAAACUUAUGGAUACAAGAGAAUGUAACCCUAUUGAUACAAGAGAAAACGUUAAAAAAAUACAAAAGACGAGAAAACAAUCCGAAGAAUCUUGUGUUUGCAACUAUAUCCCUCUAAGAUUUGAUCUGUUGUAACUCUCUAUUUCCCAUUUUCAAGAUUUGUAUAUUAGUCAAAGGAUCUCCCUUCAAAAUCAGGUGCUAGCUGUUGAAAGUUAUCCUGAGGUAACCUGAUCAAGAAACCAAGACCUGAAGGAAUAAUUGAGAAUAUGAUUAGAAAUUAAUAAAUGCAGAUUGAAACAUAUAUAGUAGGUUUUAUAAUGAAAUAGGUAUAACUUAUAGUACUUCAAAAUAGAAAAACUCAUACAGAAAGUAAAGUGAUUAUUAAACAUUUAUUUUUACUCAGUAGAAACAUUUUUGUUCAACUAACAAGAGUUUAGUAACUAUACAUUGACAUUGUAAAUUUUAUACACAGAGAUUCAAUCUUAACUAAUGAUUAUGUCAUGUAAUAUUAAUUUUUUGGAGAUAAACAAAAAAGCAUAACCGGUUGAACCCGGUUCGAUCUAUUUCUAAUAGACUGAGCACCGACUGUGAUUGAACCAACCGACGGACAAGCUGAUUCCUGGUUGAAUCGGUCGGUCCGGGUCUAAAACACUGAGUAAUAGAAACACGAAAGUAUUAUUCCAUUACUCUCUACCAUAACUAUUAUGUUUACCUUCAAUAACUUUAUAGAGAGUAGACCACCAUCUAUCUGUAGGAACAUGAUAUUUUGUCAAUGUCUCUUCUAUACUUUCAUCAUGCUUUCCUUCAAGAACUUCCUGAAGUGUUGUUACUGCAUCCUUUGUUCUAUUAAGAAUGUCUUUCUUGUCUUUAUUAUUUGGACUUUGAAGGUGAUUUUGUAAAGAAGAUAGAGUAGUAGCUAUUGCAAAUUGAGUUGCACUAUUCCAAUUGAUAGAUGCUAACUGUUUCAUAUGGAUUUCCAGCUCCUUGUUGUUAUAUUCAUUUGAAUUGUUCUCUGUCCUUCCAAAUACUAAGCUACAUAAAUACUCAGCAUUUGCAGGUCCAGUGCUUUGUACCAUCUUGUAGAAUGCAGUUUCUUCAUUUUGUAAGAGUUUCUCAGGUGAACUGUAUUCAAGAACCUGAAAAAUAUACAAGAAGAUGAAUCUUGAUAUUGGACCACCAAAACUGAAUUGAGAUUAAUUACUAAUUGAUUGGAAAAAGGAAAUUCCCCUUCAUUUAGAAUGCUUUAACUCAUUAGUCAUUUGGUUAAAAUACAUUUAACUUUGAUCCUUAUAUGUGAAAUUCAUUUUCAAUUUGGUUGAUAUAUAAAAAUGUUUUAACCGAGUGGCCAGGUGCAGCUGGUUAGUGAACUUAAGGGCAAAUCGUUUAGGAGAAAACGAGUUUGGAUCCUAGCUGGAAUAAUUAUUGAUCAAACUUUACAUACUUUCCGGGAGAACACUGAAUUACCAAGUCUCAUUUUCCUUGAGAACCAAAGGGUUGAGACAAAAUAAAAUAAAUAAAUCACACAUACACCUCUCUCUAUUAUGUAAAAAUAUAAGAGGUCUUUGUCACCGGAAUGCAGUUACUCGAAUCCUAAUAUACAUCAAAGGAUCAUCAAGAAAAUGACUUAUUUUUUUGGACAAAGAUCACACAAUGACAUAUUUUUUUCAUAUUUUUUAGGGUUACAGCUGCGGUGAGCACUAAGCCAUGCCAAUAUAGAAGUUUCAUUUAAACUGUCUCCCUAUAACUUGAACGGACAUUGUCUUUCCAGUCAGUUUUUAAAUCACAGUGUGAUAGUCAUUUGAAUGUAGUUGUUUGGAUCCUAAGAUACAUCAAAGGAUCACAAUAUAAAAGACUUAAUUAUUAGGAUUUAGGCCACACCAUUAUUCUUGGAUAUUUAAAUUUAAGUCUAACAAAUAAGGGUGACAAGUAUUUAUCCAAAAAUAAAUUAAAAAUGAGUGCAUAUACGGACUAAAUUGAAAACUUUUUUAUAUAGGGACCAAAUUAAAAGUGAGUGUUAUGUAUAUGGACAAAUUCUUUUGACCAAUUCAUUUCCAUUGAACCAAUAUAAGUGCAACAUACAAGAAUAGAAUAUUUGUAGUUCAUGCAACUAGGAUGAUGUACCUUGCCAGCAUCUAGCAACAGAAUCCGAUUGCAGUCGAUGAUUGUAUUCAAUCUGUGAGCAAUGAUGAGCAUUGUGCAUGAAUGAAAUUCUUGUCUGAUAGUUUUCUGUAUAAGAGCAUCUGUUCUAACAUCAACAGCAGCCGUAGCUUCAUCCAAGACAAGAACCUUUGAUCUUCUUAGCAAUGCUCUAGCUAGACUUAAUAGCUGCCUCUGUCCAACACUGAAAUUGUCUCCUCCCUCAGAAACCUUUGUUCAAUGUAAGAGAUUACCUUGUCAUGCUUCUUGUUUUCCAUUGAAAUUUUCAAAAACACUAAGAAAAACCAAUUAUAUAUUUGCUAGAAUUUUAAAAUUGGACAAAAAAUUGUUAGAAAAAUUUUUCUGAACAAAGUUUCGAUGACUGUUAUAUUAAGUACAAAAACAUGUUCCACUAUUUUUUUAUAACCAUAUUAUUUAAGGUGCGAAGUAUCCAAUACCGUAUAGUAGUGAUUAAUCUCCGUUGGGGAUCAGUUGGGCACACAAGGUGGGUGAACUACGUUAACUAUUUAAAAAACUGUCUAAUUUUGUUGUUCCAAAUUGAUGUUCAAAUAUCAUUUCUGAAUAAAAUGCGCAACCUCAAUGAGUAAAUUUAUACCAUAAUAAUCAAUGUACCUGAGCAUCUAGACCAAAUGAAUUUCUUCUUAUUACAUCCUUCAAGUGUGCCCUUUCCAAAGCUUCCCAUAGGUCAGCAUCAUUGUGUUCAUUAAAUGGAUCAAGAUUGAAACGAACAGUUCCUAAAAGAUAGAAUGACAGUUUUCAGAACAGAAAUGUUAUAUUCAAAUUAAUAGAGAAUGUUUAUUCACAAUUAAAAGAAAACUUAAAAUACAAGAAUAAUAAUAAUGACAUAAUCCCAGUAUGUUUAUAUGGUCAAGAAAGAGACCACUUUAUUAUAACACUUUCUAAUGUGAUAGUUUGCUGAUUCAAACAAUUUUUUGAAUAGGAAUAGAAAUAGAAAUACUUUAUGGAUUUUAUUUAUCCACUUUUAGAUUUUUUACACUAUAGUCUAAACAUUAUUGGCACAUUAUUAUAACAGUAUGGUUAUGAGAGCAGCCAAUUAAAUAGUCAUGUGUUUUAUAGUAACAUACUAAUACUUGAUUGGAUGAUUGUGUAAAAACAUCACAUUUGAUGUAUUUUUGGCAUCUUGGUAUUACAAAAACCUGCAACUGUGGUUCAGAUUGACAUGCAAUGUGACUUGAUGGAAAUUUAAAAUUUUGCUGACAGUGGAUCAAAAUUAAACUUAUCCUUGAUUGACUAAAUAUAGAAUAAGAUUUAGGGUUAUAGUUCAUACCGGAGAAAAGAACUGGCGAUUGAGGUAUGAUAGUAAGAACUCUUCUCAAAUCAGCUAGUCCAAACGUAGAAAUAUCACAUCCAUCAAUAAUGAUUCUUCCACUUUGUAGUUCAACAAUUCGAAAUAAUGCAUUAAGCAUGCUAGACUUUCCUGCACCAGUUCUUCCGACUACACCUAUCUUCUCAGUCGAAGGUACCGUAAAAGACAAUCCGUGCAAGACCGGAGGAAGUUCAGGCCUAUAACUAAGAACAACAUUCUCAAACUCAAUUGAUCCUGACAUUGGCCAUCCGGGUGGUGGACGGUUUGUCUCAAUUAUACCAAGACCCUCAGUUUCUA